AUCAACCAUCCAGACAAAAGGCGAAAGCAAAGCGAAGACGACGAAAACAUAUCGAAGCAGAUCUUCCAUAAAAUUGAGAUCUCGAAGUUCUACAAAUAUGUACAGACACUGCGAAUUGCUCUAGAGACUGUUGAUAUAAGCCCAACUUAGUGGAUCAAAAUUCCGGAGGAAAACAACUUCAACAACAAGCUACGACUUCCCUCGGUAACCUCGCCGGCAUCAACCGAUCCGGAGACACCGGCAGCCGCGCCGAGAAGUUCCUCAUUGAGAACUCCUCGUCUGACUCUCGGCUCAAAUCGUCAUCGAAGUUUAGCGCGUAGUUCAUCGGGUCAUACCCGAACUCCGAGGAGGCCGCCGCCGCCGCGUGGCCCGGCCUCCACCGGCACCUCCCGAUCCGAGCGAUGAGGCUGCGGCACCUGUACCGGAUCUCCGGCAGCAGGAGCUCCUGGGCCGUCGAGCGGACCUUGCGUGGGUGGCCGUCGUCACAGUCCGAGGAGGCGGCCUCGUGGUAGGCAGCGGCAUGGCCGCCGUCGUGGAAGCAUGAGAAGAGGAGGGACGGGGAGGAUGAUCAGAGCUUGUGAUGGAAGAGCAUUUCGACGGCGAGAGCGAUGGGACUCGGAUUCUUGGUCUGGUCUGUGCAAGGCCGUGAAGACAGCGGAGAGAGUGGAUGGAGAUGAGGAAGAAGAUGGAGAAGAGGAUGAGGUGGAGGGUUUAUUUAUAGGUCGGGCGGAAGAGGACGGAGGCGUGCGGCGGCAGAGCAGAGUGGUGUGGUGGUGGGGGCGGUGGGGGUGGGAGUCAGGAGUCAGGAUGAGGAGGAAAAGCGCGGCUGCUUCGUGGGGUGGACGUGGAAAGCGGUUUUUUUUGCGUUGAUCCCGCGUAAGUAAGGUGUCCAUCUUUACUUUUUCUUCACUAUAAUUUUGGCAGUUUGGUAAUUACGCAAAAGACGAGGGACCACGUAGCUACUGCCUUUUUUUUUUCUUUAAAGAUCUCUCUUUUGUUUUACGAAAGAGGAAAUUUAAAUGACUCUUUUAUGGGUUUCAUCAUACGACCAUAUAUAUGAUCAAGAGAGUAAACUACAAGAUCGGAAUCAGGAGCUCAAAGUCAUGAAUUCCGACCUUAGACUCCGUUCGUUUGACUGAAAAAUUAAUAUCUUGAAAAAUAUUUUCCUAACUUUAAUUGUUGUUUAUUGGUUACAAAAAUAAUUAAUGAAAUGCAUUUUCAUUAACAACUUAUAUUUAAACAUUUUUGUUGAUGAUGAGAAUAUUUUUUAUCAUCACUUUUCCUAGUGAUGUAAAAAAUAAAAAUUAGAAAAAUAUUUUUCAAAUUAUUAGUUUUUUGUGAAAAAAAGAGCUUUAGUCUCUUGGAGUAACUACGGUGUGGGAAAGAUGAUUUAUAUGAAGAUAGAGAAUCCAUAAACUUGGGAAUGUGAUGGAGACAAUUAGAUCAAGAAAGAAAAUCGAUAAGAUUUGAAAUGUCACAUAUUAAACGAGUCGUUUGAUUUUUCAUGUGAUAUCGAAUCAAAUAUCCGAAGGUUUAAAUCCCUCUAUCAACUCCCACAUUACUACACUUUUUAAUUUCUUUCAAUGUCUAGUAAAAUACUAACUUUGAGUCGUUUUCAUACAAUUCCUUUUGAGUAGAUAGGUGAUGUUUAAAUCAGUUUGUUGGUAUGUUGAUGCAUCCCUUAAAUAUAUGUUGAUGCACAAAUUGAUCCCAAGCUCAAAAAAGUGUGUUGCCUAAAUUAUUUAAUACACGUAGAAAAAUCAUUCAAUCGAUAAUUAAAACUGGGUUGCUUCGAUAAAAUUUUAUUUUCUUGUUCGAAAAUAAAUAGUCCAUUCAUAUCUCAAGAUGAUAUGUGAAAGACUCAAAAUAAAACAAAUCUCAACAAUAAAAUAGUAAAGUAGAAACUGUAGCAACGAGUAUACUGUCAUUCCAUAAAAAUGAAUAUGUGUUGAGCAUCAAAACAAAUUGAACAAUGGCACUAAUAUUUAAAGUCAAUAAGAACAAAUCAUUCUAUUCCCUGCAUAACCUUGCACUGAUCUCCACUCAUCUUUUCAUGUGACACUAAGCUCUUCACUUCCAAUGGUGGUUUCAUAGAUCUCCAAGCUGGUUUUCCCACAUACUUAGAACUUGCUCUCUCUCUCUCUCUCUCUCUCUCUCUCUCUCUCUCUCUCUCUCUCUCUCUCUCUGUCUCUCUCUCUCUCUCUCUCUCUCGUUAUAAUAACCGAGAUGUCCCGUGGUGCAUGAACAAAACGGGGGGACGAAGAAUGUUCCCUAAUGCCCAGUAGCUAGGACAUAAUCAUUGUAAUCAAUCACUAAUUAAAAACGAUGGGGGCAACCAUGCGUCGUGCUUGGUUUGGAUUCUGGUCAUUUAUGAGCCGAGCGCCUCCCGUGACUCCUGGGUUCAAGCCGCUCUCAAAGUGCGAGUCCGCAUAUGAGAGAGCUCCACGUCGGUGGAGAUUGGAGUGAGCGUCCGAGGGAUUCAUGCACCCAGCCAUUGGUUGCCCGCCGCCAGACACUUCCUCACCCGACAUUUUGGUAUAGAUAAUAGGGGAAACAUGGUGUUAAGAUUGACUUGAUCCUACGUGUUCAAUGCUCGAAACUCGACUCGAGCUUGAUUGAGUGUUAAGAUUGAUGCUUGAAUUUAAUUUGACUGGAAAAAUCGAGAUACUAAAGCUUGGAUAAAUAAGUAGUAAACUUCACUUUUAUAGAUCAAAUAUGCUUAUUGAAAGUGUCUAAAUAUAUAAUAUAAUAAUAGUUCGAUGAAAUAAGAUAUCUUUUUGGAUAACGCACGCUUUUCAAAUAUAUAAAAAAAAAAAGUAAAUUUUCGGAUUAUGUUGAAUACACAUAAUAAUUAAGGGAUCUAAAGUCAUUCCUCAUGCCAUAAGCUAUGGUCACUCUUCGCCGAUGGCAAAAAACCUAAAAAUUAUAUUAAUCAUGAAUAUAACUUAUUUAUAUUAUAAUUUAGCCAAUCAUAUCGUAUAGAAAUAGGUCUAUAAUUCAUUUUGACAUAUUUAGUAUCCGGCCAUGCAUAGUCCUCUGGGCCCUAUCCACAAGAAAAGGAAGUCGCAUCCACGUUAUCCAUAAAGUAAAUUCUUUCAUCCACGACAUAAUUUACUUCUUGUCGGCACCCAUUUCAUUGACGCAACACCAAUCAGCAAAAAUUGUUUAAAUACGGCACUCUCCAGGCAAAAAGCGAAAGCAAAAUGGAGACAAAGAUGACAUAUCAACGCAGAUUUUCCAUAAUUUUGAUAUUUCAAAAUCUACAUUAUGUACAGUAAGACACUGUCGACCCUGAUAGCCAAACUUGUCGAUCAAAAUCAAAAGACCUAGAGAAGAAAACUUCAACUAAACUCUAUAACUUCCCUCAGCAACUUUGUCGGUAGCAGCCGAUCCGGAGACACCAGCAGCCUCACCGAGAAGUUCCUUGCUGGGAGCUCCUCGUCUGACUCCCAGCUUCGAUCGUCCUCGAAGUUGAGUGCGUAGCUCAUUGGAUCGUACCCGAACUCCGAGGCCGGAGUUUCCUGCACUUGUCCCUCAUCUCCGGCAGUGGGAGCUCCUGAGCAGUGAAAAGCAGCCACUAGCCGGGCUACCAAGCUGCCUUGCGGCGGUUGACACUCUUAAAACACAGGCAAAUUGCAAAAUUGAACAAAUGUGUCCUUUCGCUAGUGCUAAGUGCGCCAAAAUCGCAUACCCGCACGCGGGUAUGGUGGGGUCUAGCUUCACCCAAUCAUUCAUUUAGCUGCACAAAGGAAAUCCCACACUUAUUAAUUAGCAUACUUCCUCCCACUUUUCUUAUGUGGGACAAAGAAAACGCACUUAAUUUGUUUUACAAACAAAUCUCCAACAAAAGAGAGAGGGAGAGCGCACGAUGCAGUCAGAGUCUGGUCUGGUCUGUGUGAGACUGAAGAGAGUAAAGAGAGUGGAUGGUGAUGAGGAAGAAGAUGGAGAAGAGGCUGAGUUGGUGGGUUUUAAUAGGGUGGACGGAGAAGGACACGGCCGAGGGGCGGGGGCGAGCAGCAAAGCAGAGCAGUGUGAGUCGGUUGUUUUUUGUCAAUCCGGCGUGAGGUUUCCAAUUUACCUCUCUUAACUUUCUUGUUGGGCAGUUUGGUAAUUAAGUAAAAGUCGAGGGAUCUUCUUUUUGGUUUUGCAAAAGUAGAAUUAGAUUAACAUUUUAUGGGUGGGUUGCGGGCAGAUAGGGAGAGAGAAGGGAUAUUUAUUUUCCUCUUUUUUGGGGGGUGGGGGUGUGGGGGGCACGGUUGAUUAUAUGAAAUUGCAGAAUUGAUAAACCUUGGAAUGUGAUGGACAUGAUUAAGUUCCAGGAAGAAAAUCAAAGGGGGCAUAACGGUAUUCCAUGAUUGUAUAGUGACAUUUUAAUUUCAAGACUAUUUUUAUCGAUUUACAUGAAAAUUUCGAAAUUAUUUGAUAGACUAGACAAGUAUAUCUUUAAAGUAAGGCUAUAAAAGAUAGAGGAUUAGGAUGUUCAUUUUUAUUUUUAUUUUCACGUGAUAUCAAAAUACAAUAUCCAAAUCUUUGAAUCCCUCUAUCACCUCCCACAUUGCAAUCGCUUUUCACUUAUAUAUAGCCAAAUACUGAUUUUAAAUUGUGCUGACGUAUUUGAUUUAAGCUUUUACACAUCUCAAUCGUCCGUCUUCUCGAGGACAUACACCUCUAUGUUGACGCGGUGCAUGUAUGAUUAUACCAUGUUCUCUCAACAAAAGUUGAGCGCAAGAACAUAGGAGAGGAGCAAACCACCUUACUAUCUAAGUCAACACUUAAUUAGUGUGUCAUUGCAUCUUUUAAACAUGAGCAAAAAGUGAUCCUCAGCUUGAGAAAGCAUGUUACAUAAAUCGGUCUACAUACAUAGAUAAAUUGUUCGAUUGGGGGUUCAACCUGAGUUACUCCGAUAAUGGAAGUUCGAAAGAAUGAAAAGCUUUAUUCCCUUCAUGCCCUUGCACUGAUCUCCGCUUACCUCAUGCACGUAAGGACUAAGCUUCUUCGCUGCUCUGUCCUGCGACAAUCUAGCUGCAUCUGCGACGCUGAAGCUUCUGUCCCGACGUUGCUGCUCCCUUUGAGGCGACGUCUAGACUCGUUGCUCCCUCAUUGGCCCAAUUGGCUUGACUGAGCACCUGCACGACCAUCGUGAUAUACUUCAUCUGUCCUGGUGCUACUUGCCCGUGCUGAUUGCCAGCAGAUCCACGGCCUCUUCUCACUACACCGCUGACGAGCCGCGAGCCUCUAACCGAUGGUCCUUGCUACGAGCCUUCAACAAUGGAUCACCCCGCGAGUAGUUGCUGCUUCUCGCUCCACAACGGCGCUGUAUUCCAGUUUGCCGUCCACCUGGUACCGCCGUCCGUUGCACCUCCAACACCACCCACCCAACAGCAUCAGCGCUAGCCACGCUUCAGUCCCAUGAAUUUUCUUUUCCUGCGGGUAUCCAGCGCCGCUGACCAUCCAGUGACACCCAGCAUCUCCUGCACUAGUUCCAAGUCCACCGCAGCUGAGCCAAGACAAAAAGAAAGAGGUGAUCUUGAACGGAGUGGAAGAAUGUUAAUUUGUGAUCCAAUUCUAGAAACUUCAAGAUAGAUUUGAACUAGAAAAAUCAAGAAAAAUUCUAGAAGAGUCUACAAGCUACCAUCUCUUAUGUGUUCGAGAAGUUUCAUCUUAUGUUACUAUAAAAUAAUAGUAGUUAUUUGUAGAGAAGUCUAGAGACUUCCUCCACCAACUUUGGCAGCUAUAUAAAGGAGCAAGUGCUCCAUGUUUUGUGUGGGAGCUAACCAUAAAAACCACCUUCCUCACCAACAUCUCCUUCAACUAUUGUAAAAUUAAUUUCAUAAACUAGUGAAACUAUCUUUGUCCCAUAAACAUUCUCAAAAUUUCCUAUCAUUGUCCAUUCUCUAUCAAAUAUAAACUAUACAUGCUUCCACGUACAUUUAAAUUCUAACAUGGUAUCAGAGCCAGGUUACGCCUAGGUUCGUAACUGAGCCAAGCGUAAGGGAUCAUGAAGCCAGAACCAGGCAUAUUGGAUGGUUAUGGGUGUUUGUCCUCACCAUCCUCAACUAAAAAGGCCAGAGCCUGAGCGAGAGCCAAGAGAGUCGGAGCCGGAGCCAGAGCCAGAAUCAAAGCCGGAGCCAGAGUCAGAAUCAAAGCCGGAGCCAGAGCCAAGCCUACGAGAGCCAGAGCCCGAGCCCGAGCUAACAACUACAACUAAGAACAAUUUGAUGCCCCGAGACAUAUGGGUCAUCGUUGAAGAAAAGACAUGCGCAUUCGAAGGCAAGUGCAAAUGUUCCGACAAGAGAAUGCAAGAUCGUGGAACGAAGACGGAAUAAAAGGCAUGGACAAAUUACAAGAGAAAUUUCAAGGUACGUCCAAGGCUUUAUAACACAAGUCCAGAGUAUCCCAAAAUUGGAUAAGGGGGAGUGUUGGAAUUUGUGAUCCAAUUCUAGAAACUUUAAGAUAGAUUUGAACUAGAAAAAUCAAGAAAAAUUCUAGAAGAGUCUACAAGCUACCAUCUCUUAUGUGUUCCGGAAGUUUCAUCUUAUGUUACUAUAAAAUAAUAGUAGCUAUUUAUAGAGAAGUCUAGAGGCUUCCUCCACCAACAUUGGCAGCUAUAUAAAGGAGCAAGUGCUCCAUGUUUUGUGUGGGAGCUAACCAUAAAAACCACAUUAUGUAGCUUCCUUACCAACAUCUCCUUCAAUUAUUGUAAUAUUAUUUUUAUAAACUAGUGAAACUAUCUUUGUCCCAUAAACCUUCUCAAAAUUUCCUAUCCUUAUCCAUUCUCUAUCAAAUAUAAACUAUACCAUGCUUCCACGCACAUUUAAAUUCUAACAAAGAAAAUAAAAGCGCUGGUCAAAGUGGAGAAAAGAAAAAUUGAAACGGAGAAAGAUUUAUUCCAUCAUUUGCAAACAAUAUCAACGCCCCCACUUUCCUGAAUACACGAUGCGGAGAGAAUACAAAGAAAGGGGAGAUUUUGGAAAUUCACUCCUUGGGUGCUCGUUCCUCACGUUUUCCCGAGAGUCACUACCUAACUGAGCCGAGCCGGAUCACGAAUCACCUGCCGAACCACCACCGCAACCAUCCUUUGCCAUCAAGCACAACCACGAGUAGCCUUGAUGCGAGCCUCACCCACAAGCCGCCUUCGAACAAGUUUGAAUUUGGAUUGCUCACUUCAAAUUAGGUAAUGAUCUUAUCCUAUUUGAUUUAAAUAUUUAAUUACAAAUUUUGGAUUGAUUUCGGCAUCUAAUUGUGCUAUUUGAGAUUUUAAUCAUCAUUCGAUAGGAUUUCAUUGACAAAAAUUAAAUAUAAUCAUUAAUUUGAGCCGUGAAAUGAUGGAUCUUUCUUUCUUUCUUUCUUUCUUUCUUUUUUAAAUUUUGUUUCCAAGCUAGUAAGUGCCUUAUAAGACGUGAGACAACAAAUUAUUUAUUUGAAUAUCAUAUUUAAACCCUGUGGAUAUCCUAGAUGAUUAAUAAGAUAGCCAACUUUAAUGAAUGUACAAUAAAUGAAAAUCACAUGUUCGAAUAUAUGGUUUUUUAAUAUGAUAUUGCCUAAUUUUAAAUAGAUUGCAUGUCAAGAUUGAUUCUAAAAAAAUAAAUCAGAAUAUAUUCUAGAUAUGAAUUUUCUUUAAUAAAUAGGAUUUAUUUAGAUAAUAUUGCAUAUUUAAAAUGGUCUUCUAAGAUAGGACAAUGUUUAGGUUAACCUAUUCACUAAUCUAUACACUGGAUAAUAACUUAUUUAAGAUCAAUUAAUUAGGAAAUUUAUCUACUUCAAAUUUUAAUAAAAAUACCAAAAUAUCAUAUGCAUGUCAUGUAGUUUAGGCCAUUUUAUAUUGCUAUGUCAUAUGUGUGUCAUGUUAGGUUCAUUUAAUUGGAAAUUGUAUGCCAUUAGAACUAGGUCAUGUAGUUAAGUGAACUUGCAUGUUACAUAGCCUAGUUUUAAUUUCACAAAUAAAAAGAAAGCUAAAAAAUAAGUGCUUGCUAUGGUAUUUAUUUUCCUGCAAUUUCUUUAUCUAUCGGUUGUUAUCUUUAAUGUUUGUGCACCCGCACUAACACUAGAUUAAAAUUAAUCUAAACUGUCUCACAAUUUAGUAUUUAGUUCUAAAAUUUUUAAUUAGAGUAAUUUAAUAUUAAAAUUUUCUACAUUAAUAUUAAUUGAGUCCAAUUGAUCAAUUUUUUGUUGGAAAUAAUUGAUGUUGACACUAGCCGUCUUAUGUGACAUGAUUGGUACUAACAUAGAUAGUUUUAAUAAUACUUUGAUAUUUUUUGAAAUUUUUUCUUUUAUUUUGGUGUAUUUCUUUUGUUGUUUUUUCACUUUUUUUUUAAGAUAACCUCUGGUUUCCCAUCAGUGCUGCUGAAGCGGCAGAUAGGGAAGAUGGUGUAGGUUUCUUCACCUCCGAAUCCUUCUUCUUUGUCUACUUUUUUCUCAACCUUCUCUCCUGCAAGACCGUUUCGAAUCAACGAAUUCAAACAAAAUCCACAGGACUGCUGUCAAAUUAAUGAUUAACGGAAGUGAACCGGCGUGUUUGGUAACGUUUGUAUUUCAAGGAAUAAUUUUUUAAUAGAAAUAGUUUUUAUUUUUUCUAUUACCAGGAACAAUUUUUGAAUAUAAGAAUACGCUUGGUAAGUGCAAAAAAAUUUCUAUUCCAGGAAUAAAAAUGUGUUUAAUAAACUUGUUUAAUUUUAUUGUUUCUUUUAAUUUUUAAAUAUUUUUAUUAUAUUUUUCCUUUUUUCUUUUUUUUUCCUUAUUUCUCUUUGUGGCCGGUCGCCAGCCAUGGCGGCGGCCAGCUACCGACGACCAGUUGGGUGAGCUCUGACGAGCUUGCCGGAGCCUCGCCAGGCCACCACAAGGCUUAGCCUCGCUAGAUCUGGGCGAGGCCGAGCCUCGCCGGUAGCUUUGGUGGCCAGGAUAGCCUCGUGCCGCCUAGGAGAGGCUCAACCUCGCCUAGGCGGCACGAGGUCGGCCUCGCCAGAUCUGGGUGAGGUCUUUUUUUUUCCCCAGAAAAAAAGAACAAAAAUUUUUGUUCCGCGGAACAGAAACAAUUUUAAACAAAUAGGGCUUAAGCAUCCGGAGUUUUGACCUUCCAAUUCUUCAUUGGAGGAUCAAUCAGGGUCCAGCUCUAUUCCAGUCCUCUUCCUCGCCAAUAGUCACAGUGUUUUCAGUUCUCUGUGAUAGAGAAAAGUAGUAUUUUAAAAUGUGGAUAUGAAAAAAGAAAGACGCGAAAAGACAUCGAGAAAGUUGGAAGUACUGUAUCUAUGGUCAAAUUUAAAAACCACGAAAGAUUGUUCCAAGCGAUUGUUAGGUUACUUGCUUCUAUGUAAAUGUUUUUUUUUUUUUUGGGUCAAAAUAAGAUAUGUAUAGAUUUUUCCGAAAAGAAUACAAGAAGGAGGCCUGGCAUCUACAAAAGACAGACACUCAAAAAGACAAAAGUCAAAGAAGAGUGUAAGGGUACUGUGGUUCCCAAACGAGACCAACUGGUAAAAACCAACAAAAGAAGCAAAGGACCACCAAACAAACGCUAGAGACAUCUAUCAAUCAAAGAGAGACGGAUGUAAAUCCCAGCUCUGUUGAAGUCUUCUAUUCUUGGGAAUGUCAGGAUCAUGCUUAAAGGUCACCGCCUUGUCUUUAAUAGCCUUAAGGAGGUGCAUCUUCAUCGCCGGGAGAAAGAGGGCCUAAUUACGAAAUAAGAUAUUGUUGCGCUGAUAUAACAAAGAGCUCCAAAGCCAAAACGAGCCAAAGACUAGUGAAAGCUACUAUCAGGGGAGAAUUACCAAAAAAGUCGUAAACCUAUUGCAAUUGCGCCAAUUUAUUCCUAAACUUUUUUUUUUGGUCAAUUUAAUCCUAAACCUUUUACAAUUGUGCAAAUUCAGUCCAUCCGGCCAAAAUUGGCCAGCCGGCGCUAACGUGGACGCCGGCCGGCCAAAGGCGAGGGCCGGCGAGGUCGUCCUCGCUGAUUACUGGAAAGACAAGCCCUACCCGACCUGGGCGAGGCGAAGUCUUGCUACAUCUAGNNNNNNNNNNNNNNNNNNNNNNNNNNNNNNNNNNNNNNNNNNNNNNNNNNNNNNNNNNNNNNNNNNNNNNNNNNNNNNNNNNNNNNNNNNNNNNNNNNNNNNNNNNNNNNNNNNNNNNNNNNNNNNNNNNNNNNNNNNNNNNNNNNNNNNNNNNNNNNNNNNNNNNNNNNNNNNNNNNNNNNNNNNNNNNNNNNNNNNNNNNNNNNNNNNNNNNNNNNNNNNNNNNNNNNNNNNNNNNNNNNNNNNNNNNNNNNNNNNNNNNNNNNNNNNNNNNNNNNNNNNNNNNNNNNNNNNNNNNNNNNNNNNNNNNNNNNNNNNNNNNNNNNNNNNNNNNNNNNNNNNNNNNNNNNNNNNNNNNNNNNNNNNNNNNNNNNNNNNNNNNNNNNNNNNNNNNNNNNNNNGGCUCGACCUCGCCAUGGCUGGGCGAGGCCGAGCCUCGCCUUGGCUGAGCGAUGGCGGCCUUGCCGUCGUUGGGCAAGGCUCGCCCCCGCCGGCCACUGGCGAAGGCAAGCCUCGUCCAGCGACGGCAAGGCCGCCGUCGCUAGAUCUGGCGAGGCUCGACCUCGCCAUGGCUGGGCGAGGCCGAGCCUCACCUUGGUUGGGCGACGGCGGCCUCGCCGUCGCUGGGCGAGACUCGCCUUCGCUAGUGGCCGACGAGGCUGACCUCGCCGGCCCUCGCCUCUGGUCGGCCAACUAGCGCCGGCCAAAGGAAGAAGAAGACAGGAAGAAAAAAAAAAUUAAAAAAUCGAAAAAAAUAAAAUUAAAUUAUUAAAAAAUCGUUCGCCGGUCGGCCGGUGUCCACGUCAGCGUCGGCCGGCCAAUUUUGGCCGGUUGGACUGAAUUGGCACAAUUGUAAAAGAUUUAGGACUAAGUUGGCCAAAAAAAAAGUUUAGGACUGAAUUGGCACAAUUGCAAUAGGUUUAGGACUUUUUUGGUAAUUCUCCCCUACUAUCAGUGAUAUGUUUGGUAGCCCAAUCAAGAUUCUCCAUCCAAGGCUUAUUAAGCCAAGCAAAAAGAAGCAAGACUACCAUAGAUGUGGCAAGCAAAAAACAAAUGAUCUAUGGAGUUCAGUCGACAAGAGCAAAGGGGGCACAUUGCAGCCGUAAUUCUACUAUAAGAUAAGAGCAAAACCUGAGUUGGUAGGCGGUUACAUGUGAUAAGCCACAGAUGUGUUUGAUAGUGAGGAGGCAAACAUGAGCUCCAAACGAAUGAGGACCAAGAAACCACAUAACCCCUAGAGCGAAUUAGAUCCCUAGUCGAAGCCGUUGAGAAUCUCCCGAAAGGGUGUCGAAGCCAUUGAAAACGGUCUUCUUCUUGGCUAAAAACUAGAAGAGGAUCUCCCCAGUUUGCUAUAAUAUUGAGGACAUACCAACCCAUAGGAGUAGAAAAUCCAUCGGCAACCGAAGCUAGCUGCAAAAUACCCGACCGGUAAAUUUCCUGGUUGGAAAAAAUUCUAUAGAGGGGACCAUUUGGAUGCCAAGGGUCAAACCAAAAGGAGACCGAGUGUCCAUUCCCAAUAAUCCACUUGAAGUGUUGGUAAAAAUGCUCAUGAAGAUCCAAGAUUUUUUUCCAAGCCCAAGAGCACUGUUUAGGCCAUGGAACAAUCCAAAAGUUCUUCUAUUUUAAAAAGGUGGAAUGAAUCCAUUUGCACCAUAGGGACUCCUUAUCAGAAAAGAGUAGCCAAAUGUGUUUGAGCAUGGAAGUUAUAUUACUUUUUCUCAAAGUACGAAUACCAAGGCCGCCUCCUUUUUUAGGUAGACAAACAUCACUCCAAGACACCUUAGCACCACCCACACCCAACAUCAAACCUUUCCAAAGAAAUUGCCGAAGUAUUUGUUCAAUGCAAUUAAGGACCGCACAAGGUAGAAAGAAAACAUUGGCCCAAUAAACUUGGAUGAAAUGCAACACUGACCCGAUAAGUUGCAAGCGUCCCACAAAUGAUAGGAAACGAUGAGUCCAUGAUUGAAUUCUAGCAAUAAUAGCAUUCACCAAAGUGACACACUUUGCCUUUCCUAAUCUGGAAGAAAUAACAGGCACUCCAAGAUACUGAAAAGGCAGGGAGCCCAAUUGGUAACCCAACUUAUUCAAGAUAUUAUCACAAAGAGUGGAAGAGCCUCCAGAUAAGAAGACUUCACUUUUUCUCAGGUUUGGAAUAAGGCCACUCCAACUAAAAAAAUAUAUGUCUCUGCUUUUAAAAGAUCAAUAGAAGCCAAGCUAGCUUCUACAAAGAGUAGCACAUCAUCUGCAAAGAAAAGAUGAGAGAGCUUGGAAGACUUACAACGCCAAAAGAACCUGAAGGCUAGUUGGCUGGUUUGAAAAUCCAAUAAGCCCGUAAAGAUUUCCAUAACAAGUGUAAAGAUGUAUGGAGACAUUGGAUCACCUUGCCGGAUGCCCCUACUGCUAGAAAGAAUCCAUGGAGUUCCCCAUUCAAGGAUAUUGAAAAUUUAGGAGAACGGAUGCAGACCAUAAUGCGAGCAAUAAACUCCAGGGGAAAGCCAAAAGCUUGUAGAGUUAACUCAAUGAAAUCCUAGUCCACCGUAUCGUAGGCUUUCUGAAAAUCAACUUUAAUAACACAUUUUGGCCGGUAAGGCUUAAGAUGGAAGCCACAAAAAAGCUCCUGAGCUAACAAGAUGUUGUCACUAAUAUGUCUGUCUUUAACAAACGCAUUUUGAGGCAAGCUAAUGAUAGAGGGCAUCACAUGAGAGAUACAGUUGGCAAUUAACUUCAUGAUGCAUUUGUAAAUAGUGUUGCAACAAGCAAUAGGUUGAAAAUCAUUAACAUCAGAGUUAUUGGGGAUCUUGGGAACCAAGGCCAAGAUAGUAGUAUAUAUCUCCCGCAACAACUUGCCAAUCACGAAGAAAUCUUUAACCGCCAUAAUAACCGAGGGACCAACAAUUCCCCAAGAGCGCUUGAAGAAUUCUACAUUAAAGCCAUUGGAGCUAGGGGCUUUGCCCACUACAAGCGAGAAAAGAGUAUCUCGAAUCUCCAAAUCAGAGAUAGGGCUGGAGAGAAAAUGCACUUGGUCUUCAUCAAGGGUCCGCUUUAAGACAGCCCUAAUCUCCUCCAUAGUGGGCCGACCAGAGGGAGAAGAUGCCGCCAGUAGAUCAUGAAAUGUGAGACAAGCAAGUGUUGCACCUCAGUAGGGUCGGAGGUAAUACUAUCGCCACUGGACAACGAGAUAAUCCUAUUACAAAGGUGUCUUCGAUUUACUGAGUGAUGAAAAAAUUUGGUGUUGAGAUCGCCUUCUUUCAACCAACAGACCCUUGAUUUUUGCCUAUAAAAAUAUUCUUCUUGUAGGCACAAAUCAGAGAAUCUCUUAAGUUGAAUCUUCUUAUUUUCAGCCAGUUGUAGAUUCAAUGGAUCACAAUGCAGGGCAUCUUGAGUUUCGCAUAAAAGGUGCCUCGCUUCAGCUGUUCUAGAGGAGAUGUCUAAGAAGGACUCUUUGUUUAGUUGUUUUAGCCUGCAUUUAAGAAGACGCAAUUUGCAGCAGAGUAUGUACAUUGGCGUCCCACUCAAGGGAGAGUCCCAUACUUGAGCAACCAAGCUGAAAAAGUUCAGGUGAGUUGUCCAAAAGUUGAAAAACUUAAAGGGCUUGCAAAUCUUAAGAGCAAACAUAAUUUUAAUAACCAUUGGCUAGUGAUCCGAAAUUCCAGGGGCCAAAAUUUUAUUUUUUGGAAAAAAGAGAACUCAGCAUUCCAGAGAGAAUUCACUAGAACUCUAUCUAUUUUUCUUUGCUUGUGAUUAAGUCCCGAAGAAGUAGCCCAUGUAAACCUAUGGCCAAUGUACCUAAGAUCAUUGAGACCUGCUUCAAAGAGGCAAUGACGAAACUCAUCAAACGCCGGAAUCCAAGCAUUAGAGCUCCUCAACCUGUCAGAGUAGUCCCGAAUAGCAUUGAAAUCACCUGCUAGAAUCCAAGGCAAGCUCGCAAAAAGAGAGCUAGAUUGAAUAAGGUCAGCCCACAGAGGACGUCUCAACACAAAGCUAUGUUCCGCAUAAACCACGGUGAAUAAGAAGACUUUGCCCGAUGCCAACCAAGAAAGCCGACCAUGCACCGCUUGUGCUGAAGAAGAGGUUACAACGAAGGAAACCACCAAGGGGUUCCACCCCACCCAAAUUCUUCCCCUAUGGGAAUAAUCAUAGUUGCUAUACCAAAUCCAACCCGGCAACAAAGUAGCAAAGAUCAAAUUGAAUGCCGAUUGGGAGAUUUUAGUUUCAACAAUCCCAACAUAGUUCAAGUUGUUGGUUCUAACAAAAUUCCUUACUUCUGUCCGUUUUAGGGGGUUGCCUAGGCCCCUAAUAUUCCACGCUCCUAUGUACAUAUAAGAAUAUGAAUAUAUAGACAAAAGAGGAAGGAGUUACUGACGCUUUGGAAGGCGUCUCCGACUGGUCCCCUGCUUUUAUGUAAAUGUUUAACCCAGCUCUUUGGAAGAAUCUAAUUCUGUUUUAGGACUUGACAGGAGGAAGACAAGGCAAAGCUAGUGCAGGAAACCAGCCUACAAUUAAAGCAGAUGAAUAAUUGGUUCAUCAACCGGAGGCAAAGAAACUGGCACAGCAACCCUUCAUCAUCAUCCGUCUCAAAGAGCAAACGCAAAAGGUACCUCAAAAUAGACAUCACCUCGUUAAUGCGAAGCUUCCUUGAUAUUAUGUUUCUUUGCAUGCUAAGUUUGAAGAACUUCUGCAGGUGAAAGCAGCAGCUAUUGAUCCCUUGAUGUGGAUUUGAGCAAGAGCAACGAUCAAAUUCUGACAGACAAUAUUCAGCGCUUCACUAGAAUGGAUACUUAAAGAGUUAAGAUAAGGAACAUUGGCCAGUGGCCUCAUACAAAGCUUCAUCAAACAGGAACAUUUGGAAGAUGACUUUGGUUCUAGGAAAAAAAAAUUAUGUUAGCGAAGAGGACAGCUCUCGCCUUGUGACAGGAAUUUUGAAGAUAGUCAAUUAACCAUAGAUGCGGUCGUGAUUAUUGAGGGGGUACUGAGCUAGGAGAUUACACAUUUAGAACUAGAAGUAAUAUCAUACGGUUUCAUUGUCUCUACUGCUUGUCCACUUUACAUUUUGUGAAUACAUAAGCCUAGUUAGGUAUUGUGUACAAUUGGUAUAAUGAUCUGUAUGUAGUUCCUCUCCAUUCUCCAUGCUGGUGACAUUUAUAGCUUUCCUUGGCUCUCCAAUGUAGUGUAGAUUUACUGUGAGAGUAACAUACAUUUUGUACACUGUUAGGUUACUGGGUUUGGAUUGCUACUAGGGAUAAUGACUGAUUAUGGUCAUAGAUAGGAUCAUUUGCCUGAAAUUCUAUGGCAUAUUACAACCUCAAAAAUUGUCGCCAGUUCUUGUGAUGAUUUAGCCACUUCAUUGUCACAGCUCUAUAUUUAAUUAAUUAUGAAUAAUUGUACAUUAAGCUGGUGUAGCUGAAAAGUUCUGUUCAUAUCCCUCUUCUUCUAUGUAACAAAAAACAACUUUAUCACGCCAAAUUCUGUCUAUCCUGAACUCCUACACAUUGAGCGAUCACCUCUGGUGUGGCUCAUGUUGCAUACAAAGUUCCGUUUCUUGAUAAACUGAGAUUUGAAUAGGAGGAAACGGUCCUGGGGUCAGUCCAGGUGCAAACUUAAAAGAUAACCGUUUGAGCUUGUCUUUAGUGAAUCUAGAAGAAAAAGGCUAUGCUUCACAAUAAUCACCAAAAAUUUCCUCAGCUUUUCUUCAAGAUGACCUAUGACAAAGAAUUGAAAAUUUGUUUCGGCCGGUCAACUCCAAGUCAGCUGAUGAUUGGCAGAAUGAAUCCGAUAAAGAAAAAUGCAUAAAAAAAGAUGAACAUUGAAUUUUCUAAUGCAACUUGGGCAUAUAAAAAUUUUAUAUCAUUUGAACCACCAUUUUGUCCUGAUAUACCAAAUAUUUAUGAUGAACUGUUUGAUGAUUUCUCUAUUAUUGUGUAGGUCAUUUUGUAUCUUUUUGGCACCGUGCUUCACUAUUCUCAUCAUUAACUUCUUGGCAAACAUACCAUACACGUUGUUAUAUAAUCCACAAAAUCAGUGGAUAUCCAAAUUUAGGAUCUUCUAACGUUUCUGCUAACCUACCCUCAAUUUUUGAACUAGAUAACUGCAAUUCCUUUUCUUUUUUUUUCUUUUUUUUUUUUUAUUAUUAUUAUUUUUUUUUUUUUGCUCUUAGACAUCGUUAAACAGCUCGGUGGUUUACACAGAGAAUCACAUUAUCUUGACCUCAUCUUGAAAUCCAACAUUUGAAACCUUGACCUCUCCUAUUUAAAAAAAAAAAAGGAGAUAUGCUAGUGCAAUUUACAGAUGUUUUUCAUGAAAUUAAUGCUUCUUGUCAAGUGUAGCGAACUUUAUUGUCUAACCAUAGAUGCAGACAUAAGAACUUUAUUGUCACAUAGCUUCCCAGUGUGGCCAAUGAUUACAAGAACAACAAAAGUUUGGUGUUUUCCCAGUUGGCGUGCCAAACAAGCAAUAGGUUUCGCAUUGGUCUGUCAUUUGGACGAAGGCCAAUCUAUGUAUUUGCUGCCACACCUGCAGUUCACGAAAACAGAGGUCCUCCUGUCUCCUCCGAGCAGGUCUAUGCAAUUUCCCAUGAUCGAUCGACUCUCUCUGCUUGGUGCCAAUCCAUGGAACGUGACCAACUACAUGUUCUCAUUUUGAGGGGUUACAGUAUCCCACACAGACCAGCCCAGGCUAUCCUUAAGACAUCAGCUACGCAGCUUGACUCAAGCACUUCUCCGACAAAAUCCUUUCAAUCAAAACCAUCUCAGCCUCCUCCUCAUCAGCUUGCUCCAAAACCGAAUGAUCCCCCAGAAGAUUGUCUGACAGAUAUGCUUGCGAGGUUAGGAGAACCCCUGCAGGAUCCUGUAACGAUAAAAAAGAAAUAGAGUAGCUGAGAAUCAACUAAGGAAAGUCAUCAAACAGUUGAUAAGGGCAAUGUGUAGUGAUAGGAAAAUUGAAAACUAAUGCGACGAACCAAUGCCAAAGAGACUUACUAAAAUAGAAAGCAGAUGGCAAUAACUAAUGAUGAUAGAGAGCGAAUAUAAGGAUUACGGAUUAUCGAGAAGAAUGGGGGGUGACGAUCGUGGAGGAAUGUAGGUGAAAGAAAACAUCAUUGUGAUGUAGGGAAAGCUCUCGACAAAGAGAGAGAAGCUCUCACAUAGGGGAGAGACACAAAUCUAUGUACAUCUUCCUGAAGAGAACUUGAUGUCCCAUUCUUUUUGGAGCAUAAAUGCUAGAAAGUUAAACAUAUCAAGAUAAGAGAAAAACGGUUCUUGUAAUUUCCAGCUUAAAGAAGAUCUGUUAGUAAAAUCUCCUGAUUUAAAUUACAUAAAUGUACUUAUGUGCAAUCAAUCUUGAGCUUUAGUGGCUGAAAAAUCAAUCUUGAGCUUCACUCUUUUAAUGCCAAUGAUCUUCCAUUAUUUUUGCACUGUUCUACUUCAAAGCAGGGUCGCACGACGUCGUCAACAUGUCAAAUGGUGAUAACAAUAACUGCCACAGUACUUCUAUGUUCAAAGACUAACCAACGGACCAGCCAACUUUUCCCUCUACGGCGCCUGCAAGUAUUACUUUGUCUACACCUUUGCAAACAGCGAUCGUUGCUCUCAGGGCCAAAAAUUACCUGUCACCGUCGGUGAAACUUCCGCCACCCCAACCUCCAGUCCAACUAGAUCCCUAUAGCUACCAGCCCCAACCACUAGGACCACUCCAUCUCUACCACCACCUGGAAGUGACGCUUCAUAUAUGUGUAACACUGCUAGUCCUGUUCAUGAGUGUAUUAAACAUAAAAUCAUUAUUCUACUGGAUAUAGAUGGACUAUUGAUAGAUCAUGAGAUGUUGCUACUCGUCAUAAAGUGAAUAACUUGUGAAAAAACUUCUUCUCAUAAUUCCAGCAUGCUUCAUAUAGAUAACAUUGCUCAAACUUGUAAUAAAUCAUAAGUUUCUUUGGAAUAAAUAUAUGGUUCUGCUCCCAUAUUCUGAUGUUUGGCUCUAUUUGCAGUUCUGAUAUCAUGAAAACCAAGAUUAUUAGAAAAAUUAGAAUGUGGCAGGAUACAAAAACUUGCAUACUGAAAAGUUGAAAUAGAGCAUCAGUAGAACAAAUCCUCAUUGGUGUAGCUAAAAGUCCCACCAUUGGAAUGACAAAUGAGUAGAAGAGUAAAUCACACGGUGACAGGGAAAAUGGUGUGAAUCUUGUGAGGAUCAAACUCAACACAAACAUUCGAUCGAGAACUUAAAAUGACAAUGAAACUAUCAACUCUCUCUUGCAGCCAUGCAGCAGAUACCGCUGAAUUGUGGUGAUCCAGAGUGCCACAAGUCCAGCAGCAUGACCGCUCUCCUUUGCCAAUGUGAUUUUGUACUUUCCCUCCAGAAGCUUCCUUAAUAAUCGACAUGUCAAUCAUUAAAUUAGUUCAAGCAAUCAUAUGAGAACAGACAAAAGAGAAAAUUACAUUUGCAAUAUGCAAGAACAAUAAAAACCCCAAUUUAAGCAAUCAGGAAAAGCAAGCAAAUUGACAUCAUUUCUAAGUGCGGGAUUUCAAUCGUCCACCUUAAGAAGCUGAGAUGACUAUGGUAAAGGGAUUUUCUGAAAGAGCUGCUUGUUCUUUCAACGUUUUGUAAUUUCCACCUAAUCGACAUCAAGUUAAAAAAAAAAACGUAAAUUAUAAACCAGUGUGCCUCAACUAAAGAUAAAAGUUUAACUCGCCAUGGAAACAAAACAAACAUGUCAUUGAUGACCUACGAUCAAGCAGAACAGCCUUCAGAUACAAAACUUAAAAAGUGAUUAUUAAUCUAAAAGUCUGGUUCCCGAUAUCAUGUUGAGAUUGAGCAAUCGUAGUGGAUGCAGAUGACAAAUUAUUUUCUAGGGGCACUCUUAUGAUAUAGUCCUCCUACAAGGGCUGCCAGUUACAUUCCUCCCAUGAUAGAGAGAAAGAAUUCAUUCCAACUAAGAAACAUGAAUCACUCAGUAAUCUAUAAAAAAUAAUCACUCACAGAUGAAUUACCAGGAUUGCCAGCUUCAUUCAUGAUUUUAUCAAGUCUAAGAUUUUGCCUUACUAGGGGACCAGGAUUGUCUCAAAUAUCGAACUAUCACCAGAAUGUGAUCUCAUGAAAACCUGACAUGACAACUGCUCAUAUUCUAUAUAAGAAAAGCUCAACACAAUUUAGAUAUUCGCUUUAGCGACUUGCAUCUAGAAAUGUCUAAAGCUUGCGGAGCUCCUAGUCUCCAAGCCCUCGGGGCUCAAUUAGUUUGUUGCAGUCUCAUACGACAAUUGACAAGCAUCAUGAAAUCUCUAUAUUUUAUAGGUAUCUCGAACCUGUGAGUCCUGGGAUGUCUGAUAGCUCCCAACAAGCUGUCACUAACAAGUUCCUUAAAUCUUCAGAUUUCAACGCCAGGGAAUUUUGCUAAAGCUUGCAUCCUUGAAUACACAAACUUUUGCAGGAUGAGAAUACCUUCAAGCUUUGAAUGUCAUGUAGCUUUUUCACAGUGGUUGAUGUUUCAACCUUUGUUUUCAAGCACAAUAGAUCCGAUAAUCUUCCAAGGGAAGUGCAACCAUGAAUAUCCAAUAUUACCCCAAAAAAAUCCAGCCCGUCAAGGCCACGUUUCAACAUGAAACCCUCAAGAUUCUGAAGUUCAGCUCUAUUUGCAGUUCCAAUAUCAUGAAGAUCAAGAUAAUUAGAAAAAUUAUAACACAACAGGAGACAAAAACUUGCAUAUUGGAAAGUCAAAAUAGAGCAUCAGUAGAACAAAUCCUUAUUGGCAUAGCAAAAAAAACCCCACCAUUGGAAUGACAAAUAAGCAAAAGAGUAAAUCACGCGGUGACCGGAAAAACACUGAAUCUUUAUAGGAUCAAACUCAACACAUAAAUGGCUGAUUGAGAACUUGAAAUGACAGCGAAACUAUGAAAUCACUCUUGCAGCCUUGUAGCAUAUCAAAUUCAUGCCUAAUGAUCAGCUUGAAAGAACCCGAUGGGUUUUGGGGAUCCAGAGCACCACAAGUCCAGCAGCCUGACUGUUCUCCUUUGCCCAUGUGUUUUUGUACUUUUCCUCCAGAAGCUUCCUUAAUAAUCCACAUGUCAAUCAUCAAAUUACAUUGAGCAAUCAUAUGAGGACAAACAAAAGAAAAUUAUAGUCGCAAUAUCGCAGAACAAAAAAGAAAAAAAAAACGAUUCCAGCAAUCAUGAAAAAAAAGCAAAUUCACAUCAUUCCUGAGUGCGGGCAACAUCAUAGAACAAUAAAAAACCAAUUCAAGAAAUCAUGAAAAGCAAGCAAACUCACCUCAUUCCUGAAUGUGGGAUUUUUAGUCGUCCACCUUAAGAAACUGAGAUGACUAUGGUCAAAGGGAUUUUCUUAAAGGUCUGCUUGUUCUUUCAACGUUUUGUAUCAACCGUGUCAAUAUUGCACAUGUGCCAGUGUGCCUGCCAUCAUAAGAAUCAACAGAAGAUAAAAGUUUAGCUCGCCAUGUAAACAAAACAAGUUAUAGAUGACUUGCGAGCAAGCAGAACAACCUUCAAAUACAAAAUUUGAAAAGGGAUUAUUAAUCUAAAGUCUGGUUUGGGAUAUCAUGUUGAGAUUGAAGGGAUCAUAGAGGAUGAUAAAUGACCAAGUAUUUUCUCAAAAAGCACUCUUAUGAUCUAGUCCUCCAACAAGGGUGGACAGUUACAUUCCUUCCAUGAUCGAAAGAUUUCAUUCCAACUAAAAACAUGAAUCACUUAGUAAUGUACAAAAAAUAAUCACUCACAGAUGAUUCACCAAGAUUGCCAGCUUCAUUCAUGAUUUUAUCAUCUAAGACUUUGCCUUACUAGGGGACAGGGGUCACUCAAAUAUCGAACUAUCACCAGCAUGUGAUCUCAUGAACACUUGACAUAAGAACUGCUCUAUAUGAGGAAAGCUCAAGACAAUUCACAUGUUGGCUUGCAUCUAGAAAUGUCUAAAGCUUGUGGAGCUCCUAGCCUCCAAGCCCCCGGGGCUCAAUUAGUUUGGCGUAGUCUCGUGCGACAAUUGACUAGCAUCAUGAAAUCUAUAUACUUUAUAGGUAUCUCAAUCCUUUGAGCCCUGAGAUGUCUGAUAGUUUCCAACAAUCUGUCACUAUCAAGUUCCUUAAAUCUUCAAAUUUCCAAACAACUAGAAAUUUUGCUAACAACUUGCAUCCUUGAAUACACAAACUUUUGCAGGAUGAGAACACCUCUAGGCUUUGAAUGUCAUCUAGCUUUUCACAGUGGUUGAUGUUCAACCUUUUCAGGGUUUUUUUUUUUUUUCAGGGUUCAACCAUUUCAGGGUUUUCAAGCAUGAGAGAUCCAAUAAUCUUCCAAGGGAAGUGCAACCACGAAUAUCCAAUAUUACCCAGAAAAUCCAGUCCAUCAAGGCCACAUUUCAACUACACUCUUAAAGUUAGCAACAUGAAACCUCCCAAAUUCUUCAAACUAGAAGGUUAUCUUUCGAUGGAUGUGCAAUUAGAGAUAUCCAAUCUUACAAAUAAUCAACCUCUCAAGGCCAUGAAUUUCAACUAGAUUCCCGCAAUCUGUAGCACAAAAUCCCUUUAGAGAUUUUGAACUUGAAAGGUCUCUUUAUCUUUCAAUGGAUCGAAAAUCUGGCCAUCUUUUUAAUGGACAUUCAUUUAAAGACAUAAAACCUUCUCAAAGAUUCUACAAGUGCAUUGCCCAUUUUUCCUUUAGCGCUCUUUGUCAUAUCAUUUAGAAAAAUAGGAAUAGCAUCAUAUUCAAAGAUCAGCCUCUUACAAUCCCGGCCAUGAAGAACCAUCUCUUCAAAGUGGUCCGAGACAAGGCUGUCACCUUUAAGAACGUAGAAGAUAAUAUUAGAAAUAGAAGGUUGUAGAGAAGUUGGGGCCUAAACCCGAUUAUUUUCUCAGGGGACCCAUAGGUUGGCUACUUUGGAUCUAAUAGUGCCCUCUCUCCCCGCUUGAGGCUUGCUUGGUAGUCGGUUGUCCAUGCCGUGCUUCUCUUUCGGUGUUUGUGUUGUAGUGUGUGUGCCGCGGUUGCGGCUUUUACAUCUUGGCACACUUCCACUCCUUAUGAUCCUUCAUUUGGAGUGUAAAUUUCUAGUGACGAGAUCUUUUGUACAUUUAGCCUUUCCUCAAUAUAUUGAUUACUUUUUACCAAAUAAAAAAUAAAAAAUUUCUUAGUCUUUAAGCUGGAAAAGUUUGGAGAUCUUUUAAUAGAAGUACACCUAGAGAGAUUCAAUCUUGCCAAUAAAUAUAACCUGUAAAGACCAUGAAUUUCAACUAGAUUUCGGCAAUUUGCAGCAUGGAAUAUUUUAAUGGACGAGCAUCCAGAGAGAUAUAGAACGUUUCUAGAUAUUCUAAAUGGCUCAAAGCCUCAAACUUCGACUAAAUUCUCGCUGUAUGCAGCAUCUGAUUCUCUUAGAUUCUUUUUAAACUUGAAAGGAAAAGUAAUUGAAUGGACAUGGAACUAGAGAUAUUCAAACUUACCACGCUCUUGUGAUUGGCAACACAUGAUAGAUUUAGAUGUUUCGAACUUAAAAGGUCCUGCGAAUCUCAACUAGAUUCUCGCGACUCGCAGCAAUUUGUUUCCCGUGGAAUCUUCAAAGUUGAAGGAUCUGGUGACCCUUCGGCUCAUUUCCCACAGAGAAUUUGGGCUUGUUGCCUCUGGAGAAUCUGGGAACGCCUAAUCAAUGUCGAAGUCUAACUAAUGCCAAAACUUUUUGUGUCUGGUAGCUGUAGCCCCAACCACUAGGACCACUCCAUCUCCACCACCACCUGGAAGUGACGCUUCAUAUCUUUAACACUGCUAGUCCUGUUCAAGAGUUCAUUACACAUGAAAUCAUUAUUUCUACUAGAUAUGGGUGGACUAUUGAUAGAUCAUGUGAUGUUGCUAUCCGUCAUAAAGUGAAUAAACUUGUGAAAAUAAUGCUUCUUCUCAUAAUUCUAGCAUGAUUCAUGUAGAUAACAUUGCUCAAACUUGUAAUAGAUCAUCGGUUUCUUUGGAAUAAAUAGAUGGUUCAACUCCCAUAUUCUGAAGUUCAGCUCUAUUUACUGUUCCGGUAUCAUGAAGACCAAGAUUAUUAGAAAAAUUAGAAUGUGGCAGGAGACAAAAACCUGCAUGCUGGAAAGUCGAAAUAGAGUAUCAGUUGAACAAAUUCUCAUUGGCGUAGCUAAAAAGUCCCACGAUUGGAAUCACAAAUGAGCAGAAGCGUAAAUCACACAGUGACAGGAAAAAUGGUGUGAAUCUUGUUAGGAUCAAACUCGACACAAGCAGUCGAUCAAGAACUUGAAAUGACUAUGAAACUAUGAACUCACUCUUGCAGCCCUGCAGCAUGUCAAAUUCACACGUGAUGAUCAGCUCGAAAGAACCUGACGAAUUUAGGGAAUCCAGAGCGCCACAAGUCCAGAAUGACCGUCUUCCUUUGGCCUAUGUGUUUUUGUACUUUGCCUCCAGAAGCUUCCUUAAUAAUUGACAUGUCAAUCAUUAAAUUACUUCGAGCAAUCAUACGAGAACAAACAAAAGAUAAAACUACAGUUGCAAUAUCCCAGAACAAUAAAAACCCCAAUUCAAGCAAUCAGAAAAAGUAAGCAAAUUCAGCUUGUUCAAGCAUAGGUUUCUGCCAUCAUUUUCAUCAAAACCUCCGCACGACCACCGUAAACCACCACCUCCAUUAGUCAAUACUACCAAUACACUCCAUCUUCGACCAUCAACUAUGACAUCCUGAUUUUCAGGUUUUGUUUUCGAUUGGAUAAGUUAGGCUUUUCAUCGACGCGCCUAUAGCCAUUUUCUCUGAGUUGGCCACUCACGAGAUAAUUAGCCUAUCGGGUGAAGCCGUUAAAUGAUUUUCACAUAAUAGACUUGAGAAUUCGACUAGGAAUCGAUUGCUCGACUGUGCUAGUCAGCAAUGGUCAUAAUAGCAUUGUCAAAAUCGAUCAGAGAUCAGAGAUAGAUCAAUUUAACUGAGAUAUGUGAUAAAAGUGUGGGUUAUUCCACCCGAUUGCAAAAUUCUCAUCAAUCAGCAUUAGACCGAUUUUUCUGUCGUUUUGGGUAUCAUGUACCCGUAUUCGAAACCUGGAAAUUUUCACGACAAUCGAAAGUCGCCAAUGUGUCGAAGAUGUACAUUGUGACUCGAAAUAAAUCGAUCAUGGGUCAAUUGCGCGAAAAAUUCCUAAAAGCUACCCAGUAAGCUAGGUCAUGCUAAAAUCGCGUCAGAUUGAAAUUAAUUGCAAAAUUGGAUCCGAUUUCAGAAAUUUAAAGUUAUGUCAUGUCACAACUUAUUAUAAGACCGUCGACUCAUCCUUCAAAGAUUUUUCUGCAAACCGAGAUUUUUGGCGAAAUUUCAAUUUAGGGCUAUUUUUAUUUGGAAAAUUUAUAGGACUGUUUUUUAUUGCCCUUUGGGAUGCAAGUUAGUUCUAUUGGUGGGGAAAAAUGUUAAAUUGGUCAAUGACAUUAUAGUGGAAUUUAUGGGGAUUGAAUUGAAUACAAUUGAAGGAGAUUUGGUUCAAUUUGGGAGAAUUUGUGCCCAAAUUCGUAGGCCAUGGUCCCCCUCAACUUUUGAACCACUUGGAGAGUGUUCUAGAGAGAUUUUGGUGCACCAAUUUGGCUAAGGAUUGAGCUGAAACAUGUGGGACCUCUUCAAGGGGACAAAAGGAUAGAAUGGAAGUUUGGAGGGACCCUUUACAAGGGUAGCCGGCUUCUUCUUCUUCUUCAGCUCAGCCUACUUUCUCCAUUUUCUUUGUGUUUAAACCUCCAAAGUUGCAAAGGAAGCCGAGCCAAGCCCUCUACUGUCACAAGCCACCGUCGAGCCCCCUACCGCCACCGCUCUUUGUUGCCCGCCUGUCGCGUCGCACCUCUGCACGAGCCAUGCCUAUUAUGCUCGUCAUUCCGCCCAAUUGCGACCCUAGAUCUUUCCCUGAGCCCGUUCAAGCCCCCUCCACCAUCGCCGAAGCCGCAUGACCACCCGUCCAGCCGCCGGAAGCCCCACUCACCCACCUAGCAGCCACCUUGGUCGUUUCUAGCUCAGCCCAUCGCCUAGCUCACCCCCUCAACCCAACAAUAGAACUGAAGCCCUCAGCCAGUCGUGGUCCUUUGAGGGCCACUUUGGACCACUUCCGAGCCUCGUAAGGUGUCACUGCUAUAAAGUUUGUCGCCUGUCUCCGUGUUGCUGUUGUCGUGGACUCACCGAGUCGCAAAACUAGUGAGUUUACUCACUAAACUCUGCUUAUGGAGUUAAUUAUGCUUAAGGGUUGAUUAUUUUAGGCUAGUAUGGCUUAGGUGAUUAGUUAGAACGGAUUAGCAAUUUAAUUACUCGUCAUUGCAUGUUAGGUGGUUAGAUCAGCUUAAUUAGCAAUUAGAUAGGUUGAAUUAUUUAUCUAGAUAGGUUUGGAAAUUUUCCGAGCCCGUUUUGGUAUUUAAUUAGGCUUUUCUAGCCUAAGUCUCUAUUAAUGGUAUUUAUUUGUAUUUAUUUAAUUAAUUUUGGUAUUUAUUUAAUUAUUUAUUAUUUUUCGAAAAUUAUACCAGGAUAGCUGGUGAUUGGAAUUUCGUGCUGAUUGCAAUGGUAUGCUUGGUUUAUUUAAUUGAAUGCUAGAUUGUGCAAAUUGAGUGAAAAUUAUAAUUUUGGAUAUUUAUUCCAAAAUUGAGUAAUUUCGGUAUUUAAUUGGAAAAUACCAGGCGUCGGUUUACAGUGCCGAAAAUGUGUUUAUGGACUAUUAUAAUUAAUGGGAAUUCCUAAAAGAAAGAUAUUGAGAUUUUGGAUCGGGCCAACCAUGUACCCACACGCGAGUAUUUUAUUGGGUAUUUUCAAUGUGAUCAUUUUAUCAGCUUGAGUGAGCACAACUGAUAUAUAUAUCCAUUAUGAUCGUCUUAUCAGCUUGAGCGAGUAUGAUCAAUAUAUCUUUAUCAACUUGAGUGAGCACGAUCUAUAUUAUUUAUUAGUUUGAGGGAGCUAUCUCUCUAUAUAUCAGCUUGAGCGAGCUAAGACCAUAUAUUACAACUGUUGUGGGUAGUGGUGGUAUCAGAGGAUUGUUAUAUGGCAUUGAUUUGAUAGAUAGUACUAUUGGGUUGGAUUUGAGCUUAUUGACUAGUUGAUCGAUGGUUCGAUUUGAAUUGAGUGGAUUGGUUGAGUUCAUGAGCUAUACUAACCUGCAAGAAGGAACUAAGGCAAAGGUAUGUACUCUAUCUUGUGUGUGCAUAGGUAGCCUUUAGGCAUAUUUCCUUACUAGUUGGAGUUUAGGGGGUGAACUUGCUGAGACAUUGUAUUACCCCGUCGUGGGUUUAACUUUUCAGGUCCUUAGAUGGCGAAUCCCCCUAAGCGUUAUGGUCAGCCGAUGAGAGUCACUGGGCAAGUUUAUAAUUAUCCCGAUCCUGGAAGUUUUUGGGUCUAUGAGUUUGUAGUGACCAUUGUCUGGGUUGAAGAGCAUCCACAUCAUGUGUUCCCUCAUCGAUUCAGAGCUUGGUUUUGUUAUGGACCCAAUGGUUUUCAGCUAGGUCCCCUCCGGUGCUUUGAGAUCCCCGCUGGGAUAAUCGAUGACACUCUAGGGGAGAGUGCAGUUGACCCUCCAGAUGGUGUGGUAGAGGACCCGAUGCACCCGGUGCCCGUGGAGACUGAAGAAUCGGCGAAUGAGUCAAACUAGUUGGUUAUAAGACAGCUUUGUUUUGAGGACUAACCUUUUGUUGACUUGUGAAUAUAGAUUAGUAUUGUAUAUGACAUAGUUUGCUGUGCAUAAGGGCGUGUUGUGGUUUUCAAAAUUUUAGCUCUGCUUUUCUAUCCCAUCCUUGUGUUGUAUGAGGAUUUAUUUAAUCGCUUCCGCAUGCGCAUUAAAAGGAAUGGGUUGGCGAUGCGGCCUGGGACAUUGCAAUUUAAUCGACCACCAAGGGAUGGGCACACACUCGAGGAUCGAGGCGUGACACCAACAGUCUGCUAUCACAUGCACAUGACACUACACAUAGGCUUAUGCCACAAGGCGGACCAUGCCUCCUAAGACAAGUUCACAUUCCGAAUGCACUGAGAGCAACUAUUGGAGUAGAAUCCCCAGUCACUAGCUAGAGCACGAAACUACAACGGCACAGCCACCAAACUAAUUUUAAAAAUCACCACGCCAAAUACGACCCAGUGCAAAAGAAAACAUGUCCGCUGCUGCCGCUGCUCGAGAGCCGUCUCAUUUCAUCCAAACCCUUCCACUAGACGGAUGAUGACGAUAGCUAUUACCCUAACAACACGCGAGGGCGUACACAAAGAGAGAAAGCAAAUACAAACCAAAACACUCAAUCAAGAAGAGAAUAAAGCUAAAUGGUAGAGGCCUACCUUCAGCUAGGGUUUUUCCAAGCUCGGCGAGAGAGAGAGAGAGAGAGAAAGAGAGGGUCUCAUUCUUCGCUUGAUUUUGCAAUGGUCGGGUUUGUUGCCUCAUCAAUUUGGUACCUGAUGAAAUGAUAAUAUUCCCACCAGGAUCUAGUGACUUCUCUAAGCCCAAAGGACUUCUCGCGAAUCAAUUCGGAUAAUCGCUUCUCCAAAUCCCUCCAUUCAACAUUCGACAAAGAACUACAUUUAAUAGAAAGCAUCGAUAGUUGGACGGGAAGCUCUGAGAGACAUUCAAGAGGACGGAGAUCGAAAAGAGAGAGUUCCCGGAGAACGGUUAGUUUGGAAAGAUAUGGCAAUGAAGGACUUGGGAAAUCGACAUGCAAAGCUGUUAAGCUCAAGGGUGGUUCUGGUAUUUCUCGAAGGUUUUCGCAACACCGAACGCUGAGAUGUUGGAGAGAAGAGAGCUCCGAAAUGCUCUUUGGCAAGCCCCAAAUGCCUGUACUGUCUAAAUGAAGUUGAUUUAGCGAAACCAGCUCGCCUAUACUACUAGGUAGCCUUCUAGAUUUUUGCAGUCCGAUGCACUCAACACUUGGAGUUUUGUCGGCAUUCCAAUGGCACUAGGCAAUUCUGUGACAAAAGAUUUGUUAAGGUACAAGCUCCUCAAAUUUUGCAAAUUUCCAAUACUUUCUGGUAAUUUUGUAAUCGGUAUCCAUGAUAAAUUCAGCUCAAUCAACAAUGUCAACUUUCCAAUCGAGUUGGGGAUCUCUCUCAAUGAAUGGCAACCAAAUAGGUCAAGGAAAUACAAAGAUGCUAGAUUGCCUAUAGAGUUGGGUAUGCAAUCUAAUAAUCCAUAGCAAGUGACAUUAAGAGUCUCUAGCACCUUCAUAGAACCAAUGGAUUGAGGUAAUUCUUUAAUCAUUGUAUACGAUAAGUCCAGCUUAGUUAAUGACUCAGAAGAACUCAUGAAUUCAGGAAGCUGAGCAAGUUUAUCAUAACAUAGAAGCUCUCUCGAUUCUUCCAUUCCCCCUACUCUUGUUGGUAGCUUCUCUACUUUAAAACAAUUAUGGAUGUCCAAGGAGACAAGGGUCUUGAUAUACCAUAUAGAAGGAUGAAUUUCUUCUAGAUUCCGACAAUUUUCAAGAUUCAAGAUCUCUAAGCUUUUUAAAGCAGACAAAUUGGGAGUUUCUUUCAAAUUUUGACAAUACGAGAGGUCGAGAACUUUCAACUCAGUUGCCAUCUAAAAGAAAUAAAUGAAAUUUCAAUGAAAGUGGACAAUAGCAAUCUGUGAUUUUACACUAUUCUUCUUUUUUCAAAAGAAUCUUUAAAAUUCCUUUUAAAAAAAAUACCCAUACUCCACUACUCUUUCAUAGUUGUCUUAUUUAAUUUCAAAUGUUUUUUUUUCAAUAUUGUCGGGCUAUGCCACCAUAUUGAUUUUUUUAAGCAUAUCCAUUACAAAAAGAAUGUUAGGGACAUACAAGUGCCAAUCAUGUUUAUUUUCGGAUAAAAUUUCAAAAAGAAAAUAUAUUCAGUUUUUAAGAACUAUGGCGAUGUUAUUGAUUAGAUUUGUGCAAAUUUUAUUGUCAAAGAGACUCUCCAAUAGUAAGAAAUGGGUAGCUUAAUUAUAAAAAGCAAUUUCUUAAAGUGACUUCAAAGAAAAAUUUAAAGAAUGCUGUAUUUCAAAAAAAAUUAAUGCCAUCCGAAUGAUAGUUUUAUUACUCUCAUAACAUUAACAAUUUAUAUUUGUGUCAUACAGUGACUUCCAUAAUCAACAAUUAUAAUGAAUAAAUAAUUCAUGCAACAAGUCAAAGCACUUCAUAAAUCAUAUCCCCUACUCUGAGAUUAUAAUAACUUCCCGAAUUUUAGUAUUUAUGUACAGCACAAUUCACUAUGCAGGAGUUUUUUUUUUUCCUCCAUGAAAGAAGAUUGAUAUAGAGAAAUAACAAGAGUCCCUCAAAAGACGUACUUUUGUGUGGGAGAAAUUAACUUAGCCAUAAACCAUCUAGAUUAAAGUAAAUCAGAAUAGGUACAAAUAUGCAAUUGUAUUUUCAAUAAAUGUUAAUUAAUAUAGUUACUUUUUUUUUUUUUAGUAUUGUCUAAGGUUAAGCAUGACAGGUUGUUGAGUUUUAUCAAUUAAAAAUAAUUAAGGGGCAAAAGCCUAUGAAUAUUUAGGUAGCUAUAAAUUACUCUUAUAUUUAAAUGAAAAUCCUUAAUCCAUGGAACGUUAGCAAACGUUUCUAGGAGAAAUUGGUGUGAUUGGACCUUCGUUAAAAUGUUAUUAUUCUCAAGAGACAAAUCUUCUCAAUAUCUUACCUUGAGUGGAUCCCAUCCUCCCCAAUCCUCUGAAAUAGCACUCUGUGAUAGAUUAAGCACGGCUAAUUUCUUCGGAUUAAAGUUGACCAUUUGGAAAUAUGAGGGACAACAAUUCCAUUGAAGCCAUCUUAAUUGAGGAAGCAAGUUUUGGAAAUCUUUGAUAAAAUUUACAUUGCACACUCGAAGGAACCUCAACUUAGUGAGUUCAUUAAAUUGUUCACCUUGGUAGUUUUUCCCACAAACGUAACUGUUAAGAAAAAAAUUCCCAAUCUCACCAAGCCCAAGACAAAGGGCCUCAAUUUUACUAGUGCCCUGCAAUUACGAAACAUAGUGGAUGGAUCAUACCACAUAACAUGUUUCAUUUAGUUGUACACAUAUAUUAAGUUUUAGCUACACAAAUAUAUUUUAUAGGAAUGGAAACGAUUGAGGGAUUUAUCAUUUAUUAUGUGCAACGGGGUCAUUUCUGACAAAUAAGAAUAUUGGUUGAAUAAUAAUAUCAAAAUAUGAAUAAAUAAUAUUGAAAGACCAAUAAAAAAUAUCCAUCAUCAUAGAAAUAUUAUAUAACAUGCUUUAGAAAUAAAUUAAUAUUAAAAAAAACCGUCAUAGAUGAAAAAAAAGUCUUUGUUUAGAAGAACGUAUUACAUGACUACAUACUAUCAUAAUUGAAAAUUUUUAUGGAUACCCAUUGUGACUAAUAGAUAUCCACUACAGAGAACUAUUUAACAUGCUUUAUAAGUAAAUGAAUCUAAUAAAAUUGUCCAUCAUAGAAAGAAAAAAAUAUAUAUAUGUUUAGAAGGUUCUAUCACAUGACUACAUUUAUUUCAAUGGUGAGUAUAACGAAAUGUGUAAUAAGUGACGGCUGUUAUCAUAGAAAAGUUGUAUGAAUAUUAUUUAUAAGGAAAAAAAAUCGUAUUUCAUAAGUGAAUGAUGUAAAAUAAAUCGGUAAAAAAUUAUAAGACAUGAUAGCUCAUAUUUGACAAGUAAAUGAUAUAAUAUUACUGAAUGUGUACUAAAUAAAAUGCUCACUAAGAGUUGAACGUUGCAGAGAUAUCUAUUAUAACGCGGUAGUCAAAAUUUGACAAAGAAAUGUUAUCAGGACAUUCAUUUAAAAAUUACCCAUCAUCACAAAAAAGUAUGAAUAAAAACAGUAGCAAAUUCAUAGAAAGAAUUAUCUAUACAAUGAAAUGUCUACAGAAAAAAAAUAACAUAUGUUUAGAGUGUUAUUACACAGUUGCGAAUAUAUCAUAAAUAAAUAUGAGAGCCACGUUAGUAAAUUGAUGGUAUCAACUGGCGGUUGACAAUAAAAGACUUGAUUAUGCAAACUGUGUAAGAUGAAAAAGAAAAAGAGAGAAAACUACAUUGAGCAUAAAAGAAGGGAUAGGGGACUAAAUUGCCACAGAUAAUGAUGCAUAGGAGACUAAAUUCGUACUUAACCCAUCUUGGAAAAUUUAUGAACCAGGAUGUUUAAUCAUCACAAAUGGAUGGAGGCCUCGUUUAUCAUAAAAAAACAACUCAUAAGAAGUCGAAACUCAAUAAAAGAAAAAAGAAAAUAAGACCUCACAAGAAAUUGAAAGAAGAAUCCAAACAUCAAACGCGUGCAUCAAACAGACAUGUGAAAAAAGCAUGGCCCCCAACAAGUUAUUGAUGUCAAGUUUUCUCUGAAAGUGCCCUGUCAAAGAUUAUGUUUUUUAAUAGUUUUGUUGUUGCAUUGAAGUUACUAAAAGAAGAGUGUUCUCAUUACAUACUACCAGGUAAAGAUAUAUCAAUCAUCAAUAAUCAAGAAAUUGCUCCUCAAUUUUGUCCAGGUAAAAAGAGCAAUUAAUUGAAACAGCUCUUAACCUGGUAAAAGUGAAAAAAUUUGGAGACGAACAAGAAUAUUAUCUCAAACAAGAAAGAGAAGAAGGGCUCACAUUUACUGACUAAGAUGACUAGAGAGAGAUCUUACCUUGUUGUUGUCAAGAACAUCUAGGGCUUCCUCACGAAUCCAUAAUCUGCUGCGCUCUUGAGGCUCUUUUGGAUGUUCUAGACAAACAAUUUCUCUUCCAAGAUCUCUUAGUUGAUCAUGCUUCAUUAUAUUGCCAUUUUAUCAAUUUUAAUUAGGGACAUAAGGCUCAAUACUUCAAUUCCAUUCUCCGGGAAAAACCACAUGCAUCCCAUAAAUAAGUUACACUUUGUUUAGAUAAUCCAAUGCAAAAACAUGCUAUGUCCAAAAAUAUUUGCUUCGUCUCAUAGUCUAAUGAUUCAUAACUUAUCCUCAAUGUAUCUUGCACUUUCUUAUCAGGCACUUUCUUUAAUUUCUUCAAUGUAUCUUCCCAAAUUUUAAUUUGUUUUCCACGUAAGAAAGAACCUAUAACUUCAAGAGCUAAAGGAAGCCCUCCAGUAGUAGACACGAUAUCAUGAGAGACAACCUCAUAAUCACUAUGAGGAGCAUCCUGUCGAAAUGCAUGUCUAUUCAAUAAAAUCAAUGAUGGAUCCAAAGGCAACUUGUUGAGUUCGUACAUGUAGGUUGCCCUAGCCUCAUCAAGAAUACUCUUGUUUCUAGUGGUUAUGAUGACUAUACUUCCAGCUUUAAACCAAUUACCAUCUCCAGCCAAAGCAUUCAAGUGAGCCUUAUCAUCCAUAUCAUCAAGAAGAAUUAGGGUUUUCUUUCUUGUAAAUCGAGAUUUGAUGACAUCGAUUCCCUCAUCGACAUUAGACACCUCAUAUGACCUUCUUAGUAUAUCGCGAAUGAGUUGAUUUUGUGGCCAUUCAAUACCCUUGCGUAGAGAUGUUUCUCAAAUAUUUGCCACGAAACUAAGAUGUUCGAAAUGAUUGGAGAGAUUAUUGUACAAGACCCUUGCAAGAGUUGUCUUACCAAUGCCCCCCAUUCCAUAAAUUCCAAUGAUCCUUGUUUCAUUAAAUUUAGCAUCUAUGAAGCUCAUAAUUUCUUCUAUGGGACCAUCAAUUCCGACCAACUCUUUGGGAACAAUUAGUUGCAAAGGUCUUUUUAACUCACUUAAGACUUUUUCGACAACAAUUUCAACCAAUGCUCCUUCAUGCCUGUCAAGCAACACCGAAUUUUAGUAUAGGAUGGCAAUAUUUAUAUUAUUUUUCAGGUAAAAGUCUGAAUUUUAGUAUAGGAUGGCAAUAUUUAUAUUAUUUUUCAAGUAAAAGUCUAGUUAUGAGAAACUAAAUAAUGUUUUGGUGGAGAUACGUACCCAUCAUCAAUUUUCUCCGAUUCCCAUCCUUUUAAAGAACUGACUUCUUUGAGCGCUUCUUCCCAUUCCUUCACAACCAUUUCAUCCGAAUUCUCUUUAUGUGCAUUGAUGGCAUCUCCAAAUCCCUCUAUUAGAUGUCGCACUUGUGAGGGUUCCACUUUGUAAAAUAUGGGCAACACUACUUGCCCUCUGCUUCUCUUGCACUUCAAAAUCUGAACCAGCUCACGAAGGCACCAUUUGCUAGAAGCGUAGUCCUUAGAUAUAAUUGGGAUCGAGAUCUUAGACUACAUAAUACUGUAGAGAAGCUCCAAACCAAUCUCCUCACCAACAUGGAGCUCAUCAUCAUCUCCGAACACUCGAAUUCCUGCAUUAACAAAGCUAGUAUAGAGAUAAUCAAUGAAGCCUUUACGAGUGUCUUUCCCUCUAAAGCUCAAGAACACUUCAUGUCAUCUCCUUUCGGCUUUUUGGUUGUGCCUUCAUAAUCACCUAUAUGUGGAGAGGUAGAUGAGGAAGAUGCCCCAUAUAUCGGAUCGUCUGAAUAAGUAGGUUCUCUUCGUUUCAUCUCGAGAGGAUUGUACAUAUACAAAGGCAGUAGAAGAGAUUCACGAAGCAGAGCCUCAAAACAGGAGGAAUACGGAAUCCCAAAUAUAAGAAUUGCAGAAAUGUCUCUCGGAAUUCAUUCUGGAGCUACAUUCAAACAAAAACAAAGACUCUCAUACAACUCAUCAGAAUAAAUGGACAAUCGAAGCAGGAAAGAGAGAAAAGGAGAAGAGCAAGGAGUCACUGAUUACCUGCGGAGUGCUCACUGAUUCUCGGCCUUCGACGUUGGAUUUCUAGCACGGAACGCUCUUUAUCGUGCGCGCUUGAACGAAGCUGAGUUCUGGCCAACAAACGAUUGGAGACUCUUCAUGCUAAUUGAAACGUUGCGAUGCAUGCUGCACGGAAAGGUCAAUUAUUGCAGGAGUAACUUCCGCAGCACUAUCCGGAAGGUACGUCAUAAGAGGUGACUCGACUUGCUUUUUCUAUUAUAAACUAGAUUUUUCCAUGCCACAUCAUGCCUAAAGAUUAUCUAGCCAUCAUUCCCUCACCCAGGGCACUAUUAUUUUUGUCCUUAAAUUAAUGAUUUUUUACGUGUUAUAUUAAUUUUUUUUUUCAGUGUUACAUUCAGAAAUUCUUGGCCAACGAAUUCUCCAAAUAUUUAUUCAGUAAUACAUUUUUACUUUUUUAUUUCAUUUUUUGUCGAACAUUUUAUUUCAUGUUGGCAUUCUUCUUUUUCUUAGCUUUUUACCUAGGAUAUCAUUAACCAACUAUAUUACAGUAUCAUGACUUUGACCAAUAGUAUUGUUGUCAUCUCUACCCAUUCUCAGCCUUACACGUUUAAUUUCGGACGCACAAGGCUCUCCACUAGUCAAAAAGAGAGCGAUUUCUGCAGCAUUAUGCGGAGAUGCGUGGAUCCCAUUCAUGUCUUUUUUAUUUGACUUGUUUUUUUCUAUUUAAAAAGAAAAAAAAGAAAACUCAUCAACAAUACUCACAUGCUCCUGGUGUUAAUUUAUCGGUUUAUAUAGGAUUUUAUGAACAAAUGUCGGCACUUUGUUGACAUUCUGGAGUUAACUAAUGCCUAUUCCUUCAAUUGCGGUACAAUGUUGGCAAAUUGAUGAAGUUGUUGUCUUAUUUCGUGGUUGCGAAGGGGUGACACCGGCUUAAUUUUUUUGCCCCUUUCUCUGAUUAGUUGAUGUGGGUUAAGUGGAAACAGCUGCUGUCGAUUUGUUUUAGCAAUGUCUCAAGAAAGAGAUAGUGGCAAUUUUUAGCAGGAAAACAUUAACAAUAGUAUCUUACACCCUCUUUUUAGCAUCUAGUCGUUUUCGUGAUCAAAUUGCAUGAUAUUUGUGUCUAUAGAAAGAUAUAUGUACAUGUAUCAUAGUUUAAUAAAUAUUUGGACCAUUGCUGUGAGAAACCUUUCCAAUCGGUAAAAAUUUUCAAUGACUUUCUUCGAAAGUUACACCAACCUCAUUAUUAAAGUAAUGCUAUGCCACUUUCAUAGGAAACCCCCCGUCCCCUCCAAAAAGAAAAAGUCCACCCCCAAAAAAAGUAAGGCUAUGCCACUUUCAUAGGAAGCCCCCUUCCUUCUAACCACACACACAAGUGAAAGAUUCACAAGUGCUUUUUGAGCGUGGGUUAGAAAGAUCCAAUUAUGUGAAUCUCAUAAGAUCCCCAUAUUUUUUUAACAGUUGAGAUAAACUAACAUUAUUGUUUUACCGCAAAAUCAACAACACUAGCCUACAACCAAAGUCAUGCAUUUGAUUACUCUUCUUCUCUAUCUUGUGAGAAUUGCCUUGUACAUGAACAGAAACUCAGAAUAAAAGAAAGGGAAAAAAAGAAAGAAGGAUCGGGCCUUUGCUGGUCCAAUGCUAUUUGUGCAUAACAAUUUUGCCAUGUCUAUUUGUGCAUAACAAUUUUGCCAUGUCCCUUGUAGCCAUUCAAUGCAAAUAUAGUAAUGUCAUUUGUUCAUUUAACUUGCAUUGAGCUGUGCAAUCAAAACUUUGUCAGUGUGAAGCAUCAAAUUGAGGAUGUUAAAAUUGUCCUGUUCAAGGCUGCUAUAUCGUAGCAAAGGCUGGGAGACAAGGAAAAAUUUUAGGGUACACCCAUUAUAAUGUACAACAUUACGACGCAUCAAAGUAAUUAAGUACAAGAACAUCAUAAUAGCAUAGUAAAAUUGUUCAAUGAUAUAUUAUCGUCAUCAAGUGCAAAAGUGGUGUGAAAUAGAAGUGUGCUGCUAAAGAUUUUCAAAAGAUGAAUGGAAUCAACACUGAUGUAAGUUUCGCAAGAAAUAGAUGAGCUAAGGAAGACGCUGGACACGUGGUAUCCGUUACUUAGUGAAUUGCUUUUCUUUACUCACCCACUUUGAUGACCAAAAAUUAGCCUUGAUCCUGCUUUUUUAUCAAUAGGAAAAGUAAUAAUAAUAAUAAAGUGAGAGCAUUUCACUUCUUGUGGACCUCCAAUUUAUUGUGUUCUUGGUUGGGUUGGAAAUUGGAAUCUAAAAGAAAAUCAAAUAUAUUUGUACAUCUCUCUAAUGAAACAAAAAAUUGCUCCUUUUGACCUAAACAAUCAAAUAAUAAAUGAAAGAUAAAUGUUUUCUCAGAUAAAACGGAAUGUGACGCGAAAGUUAAAUGUAUUCUGAGUCUCUUGCUAAUUAUGUUUACAAAAAUUGAAUGUUUAUUUUAGAAACUAGAGUCAAAUGUUCAACUCUCAUGAAAACUGUUAGAGAUAUUUAUCUUAGGAUAUUAGAGAUAUUUAUCUUCCUGAUUGAUUAUAAUUAAUUUCUUAUCAAUUAUAAUUGAUUUGAUUUUGAUCUUGUAAUAUUUUAUUACCUCAUAUAGUUGUCUAAGACAGUCUAUAAAUAGGCUCUUGUAUCAUUAGUAUUACACGUACUGAAAUAUACAAAAAUUCAUUUUUCCACUCUAUUCUAUCAUGGCAUCAGAGAGAGGUUUUGUUUGAGAAAGUGGUCGCCAUUGUUGCAGCACCUUGAAAAAUCAUCAUCUAUUAUGGAGAGAAGCCGCACGCGCCACCACGCUCCGCUGCGCUACAGGACUAUUGACGACUACCAAUGACCACCGACGCCGUCGACUGUAGGUGGAAGUUUCAAAGACAAUCCUUAGAAUUUCUGACCAAAAACCACCAUAGACAAGUUCUAUAUUCUCCGGCGAGUCCAGAACAGCAAUGACCAUUGCUGGAAAAUGAACCACACACCCUCACGCGUCGCCCAAACCCUCUACGCGUGAGAUCCAUGUGUCAUGUCGCUGGAAAGUCAACCAAGCGCCCUCACCCACCAGUUAAACCCUCUACGCAUGAGAUACACGCGCCACAACUUUGCACGUGACCUAUGUGUGCAUUAGUGACGUCAUUGAUGGCGUCAUCCUCGCACGUGCUCCAUCCGUGCUCAAGCAAUAACAUCAUUGCCACGUCAUCGUUGUCGCUGACAGCCGUUGACUGACGUUGACCCGAUCAGUUCGUAGUGUUUUUUGACCGGUUUGACUUAAUUUAGACCGAUUCUCGGUGUUUUCCAACCGGUUUAGCGAAAUUCCAUUCGAUUAGCUCCUUUUUCUGACCGGUUCGUCCAGUUUCCGAUCGGUUCAUUUGAUUUUCCAACCGGUUCAGCCAGGUUCCAACUGGUUCUCAGGGUUUUUCGACCAGUUUAGCCAUUUUCCGACCAGUUCUUAGGGUUUUCCUACUGGUUCAGCCAUUUUCCAACCGGUUCUUGGGGUUUUCUGGCUGGUUCGGCUUGAUUCUGAUUGGUUCUUGGCAUUUCCAGAUCGGUUCUUGAGGUAUUCCGAUGUUCUCAGUCUAUUUUUCAGCCUUAUUUUCUUCAUAUCAGCUCCACAAGUAUCAGUUUUUUUCUCAAAUUCAUUAAAGAAUCUAUUGAGUUUACUAGUAUAUCGCCUAUCAUGGACAAGUUAGAAGUCUCAAAGCCCAUUCAGACCAUCUUAAAUGGAUCAAAUUAUAUUUUAUGGGCUCAAGAAAUGUCCAAUUUUCUAAGGGGACAUGAGCUUUGGCGUUAUGUAACUGGAGGUCUUCGCAAGCCUAGUCAGGCUUGCGCUCGCGAAGAGGAUAACGAUACAUUUGCUGAACGAUUGGAGGAGUGGGAGAGCAAGAAUCACUAUGGUUUCAAAAUACUUCCAUUCCAUCUAUCAAACUUCAGUUCGGUCAUCUAAAUAUAGCAAAGGAAACCUGGGAUCUUUUUGCUAGUCAUUAUUCCACAUCAGAUAUUACUCAUCAAUAUCAACUGUUAGGGAACUUACAUCACAUGCGUCAGGAGACAAGUCAGUCUAUUGAUGACUUUUUUUCUUCAAUGCAUGUUAUAUGGGACUAGCUCGCUUUAUCUAAACCCACAUGGGAUUCGUUUGUUGAUGCUCAUAAGUUUGCUGAAUAUCGUGAUUGUAUGCAAGUUAUGCAAUUUCUGAUGGCUCUAAAUGAUGAGUAUGAACCUGUGUGAGCCUUACUUCUGCAUCGGGAUCCUUUACAUCAUCUUGAGGUAGUUAUUUCAGAGCUAUUAGUUGAGGAAACUCACCUUGCGACUUUCAAUGCACAACAUGCUACUCCACUGUUUUCCACUCCUACAAAUGCAGUGCUUGCCACUAUUGGCUCAUCCUCAUGGCGCAAAUCUUAUUGUAUGCACUAUCGUCGACUUGGUCAUCAUGCAUCAAACCAUUAUCAAUUACAAUCCAAUCAACCUAUAGGAACAAACAACAUAUCCCGUUUUAGAGGUUUGGUUGGACGCGGCUCAUCCACUGCUGCUUCUGUCAUAGAGGAUUCCUCUAGUAGUUCGUCUAUCAUGCUAUCUUUAGAUGAUCUUUGAUCCACGGUUUGGUCCAUUCUUCAAGAAACUAGUACUUCUAGUCCUUUUGUUAUGUUGGUCACUCCAGGUACUCCUGAUUCAUGGUUCUUUGUUUCUACGUGUCGUAAUCACAUGACUUCCCAUUCCAAUUUAUUUAAGUCAAAAUCAUAUAAUUCACAAAGACCUACUAUUCACACAGUUGAUAACUCUCAAAUCAUAGUUAGUCAUACAGGGAACGUUUCAAUGCCCACCUUGUCCUUACCCGAUACUUUUAUGGUUCCCAAACUCUCUUUAAACUUAGUAUAUGUGGGUUAGUUAUGUAAGCUUGGUUUUGACAUUCAUUUCUCUUCGAAUGGUUGUCAUGUGCCGGAUCCAUAAACGGGACAAACAAUUGGGACAGGCUCAUAAAGUGGGACGGUUGUUUGAGCUUGUUUCAUUAAAGCUUCCUAACUCCUACACUAGUUGUGCUACCACAGUUUCAUCUUAAACUUGGUAUUCUCGUUUAGGUCAUCAUUCUUUUUCUCGUUUAAGUCAUUUGCUCUCAAGUGGUCAACUAGGUUCCAUUGACAAUAAAAACCUUUGAUUGUCUACCUUGUAAGUUAGGAAAACAUCAUGCUUUAUCGUUCAAUAUUAGUGAAUCUAUCUCUUAUGCUCCCUUUGAUCUAAUUCAUUCGGAUAUUUGGGAACCAUCUCCUACUCCCACUAUGGAAGACUCUCGUUAUUUUGUGAUUUUUGUUGAUGAUUAUUCACGUUAUACAUGGCUUUAUCUCAUGAAAAAUCUAUCUGAAUGUACCCAUAUCUAUGGUAAUUUUGUUGCAAUGAUCAAAACACAAUUUUCUCGAGAUAUCAAGGUCUUUCGUACCGAUAAUGCCAUGGAAUAUAAGGACAGAGAGUUUCUUAAAAUUCUUUCUCAUAACGGUACUAUUAUUCAUCGUUCUUGUCCAGGAACUUCCCAACAAAAUAGUCGAGCAGAGCAUAAACACAGGCAUAUUUUAGAUAUUGUACGCACUCUUCUAAUCUCAGCAUCUUGUCCAGAACAAUUUUAGGGGGAGGCCUGUCUUAUUGCUGUCUACACUAUUAAUCGUAUUCUAUCACCUACUAUAGGUAACAUUUCUUCAUACGAGCACUUAUAUGAUAGUAUUCCUAAUUAUAGUCUACUUCGAGUUUUUGGUAGUGCAUGUUUUGUGCAUCUUCUUCCAAAUGAGCGCAUGAAGUUAGAACCUCAUGCUCGUUUCUGUUGUUUCCUUGGAUAUGGCAUUGAGCAUAAAAGGGUAUUUAUGUUGGGACCCUAUCUCCAAUCGACUUCGUGUGUCUCAUCAUUUUACCUUAUGGGAACAUAAAAUGUUCUCAUCUUUACAUUUUUUUGCAUCUUCUCUCAUUGUUCCAAAUGUUCGUUUCUUCACAAAUCCUUCUGUCGAAUUGUUCCUUGAUGAUGACACUCCUACAUCUUCCUCUUUAGAAUUGCCCUCUCCAAAUCUUGAUGCAGGUAUCUCUAGAAAUCCCACUUCAGCAACUCCUGAUAUAUCGGUGCCAUUCGUGGAUCCACCUUUGGAAGUUCCUUCUUCUUCUGUUCGUUGCUCCACCCAUGUAAGUCAACCUUAUGUUCGGCUUCGUGAUUUUCACUAUUAUUCCACAAUUGCCUCUUUUCACAAGCCUCGCACUAUAGAGAAGCUUGUACUAAUCCUCUUCUCUUCAACCGCCGGAUUGUUCCAGACCCAUUCUGCCCAAUAUGCUGCCAAUAUGUUCCUGAAACAAGAGAACAUUUGCUUAUCCAGUGUCCAUGGACGAAAACUACAUGGUCACACUCACAGCUUGAUUUAGCUUCCUCUACAACCUCAGUUUCCAGUAUUACACGGUGGCUAAUUGAAAGUGUAAUUUUACCUGAUCCUUCUCCCCGACUCGAGGUAGUUGCCACCAUCUUUUGGCAGAUCUGGAAGAAAAGAAACCAUUUUGUUUUUCGGAAUCACCGUCUGAAUCCCUCCAUGGUAGUGGAAUUGGCUCUAGCUCAAAUCUCAAUAUAUCAGUCUUCUGGUGCAGCACUCCAUCGCUCAAGUUCAAACUCUGGCCUUGACACUGUUCAACCCGAUCAGCUUUGGCGACCUCCGGCAAAGGGCGUCCUGAAAUGCAAUAUCGACGGGAGUUAUCAAGAGGGCACUUCGGAAGGCUCUAUGGCCAGUAUUUGCAGAGAUGAUCGAGGUAAAAUCACUGACAUUUUCUCUAGAUAUUUUCCAGCACACUCACCUUUCGAAUCGGAGCUCCAGGCGCUGAAUCUGUCCCUACAACAUCUAUAUCACCGAGGACUCCAAAACACCCCCAUCGAUCUUCAUACAGACUGUCUUCAACUUGUUGAAAUUGCAAAUGGUCUUCGCCUGCCGCCAUGGGAGCAGAGGCCAGUGAUCGACGAAACCCUAUUUUGGCUCUCCAACUUUCCUUUCCUCUCUUUGUGGCACUGCCGCCGAUCGGCUAACCUAGUAGCCGACUGGGCAAAGCCCAGUUAGCUCACCCGGCCCAAAAACUAUCUCUUUCCUUUUCUCUUCUGCUGGAUCUGCUGGAUCUUUUGUUUGCGGAUGCUUUAGCUGCAGGAUGUAAUCUUCCUCUUUAAUUAAUAUAUAAGUGUGUUUAUGUCAAAAAAAAAAAACAGCGAGGAGAAGAAGGAACAGAGCAUAGAGUAACCACUUAAUUGUGAUAUUUUAAUUUGUGUUUUUUCUAGGAAAAGGCCUCUGGAUAAAUAGAUAAAGGAAACUAGAUGCAUGCUAAUGGACGCAACUAUUCGAUAAUAACAUUUGAAGUCAAAUGUCGGAAAGCUGUAAUGACUUAAACAACAAUAAACUAACUGAUAUAUAACAAUCUAAAGACAAGAUAAUUACUAGACAAUUUAAAACUCUGUCACAAAGUAAAAUAAACGAACGAAAAAUUAUUCAUACACAACAAAAAUGAAAUCAUUUGCAUUCGGUGAACUUGUCUUGUGACUUACGCGGUGUGUGUAAUUGAUACACAAUUUUACUCAGUUUUUGAAAUUUAUGAAGUAGCUUAUAUUGACAUUUGUAUGUUUUUGGAGAUUUUGAGGUGCUCGAUUUCAAAUAAAUUGAAAAGUAUGUCACGGUCAUCAGCAAGGAUCAUGGCUAUUUAGGCGCUUGCCAUCUUCAAAUCAAGAUGGUGGUCGCUUUCUUUUUUUCUUUUUUUGUCUAUCCUACUCUAACUCUCAAUUCACUAUCGAACUUUUGUCAUUCCUCUUUACAGGGUGUGGGAGUUGAAACCCACACCUAAAGGCCGAAGUUUGUCAUCGCCUCUCCAACUCCCUUGAGAAAAUAGGGAUUUGAACCCUAGAUGAUGGUUGCUUUGGAGGCCACCAUUGUGUUAAAUCGACUAUCCUUGUAAUAUUUUGCCAAGGGAAUGUCGAAAAAGGAAUUGAACUCGACAAAUUUGACGAAAAAGGGUUCUUUGUUGAUUUUGGGUGGGAAUGUAAACAACUGUGAAGGUAAAGGGAGUUUAAAGUGUAGGUGCCGAAAAUUGAAGAUUACGAGACUGAUAAAAGGUACCAGAAUUUUAAAAUUAUGUAGGAUAAUUAGCAGGGAUUUAAAGAUGAAAGUAAAUGUGCAUAAGAACGAGAGUUCUAUUGAUGAUUGAUCCAAGGUGCUAAAAGCUAAAACGCGGCCUUUUAUAUUCCAUCGCCAGCAGUUCUCUGCCAAUGAUGAUACCGAUGUUGCUAGUCCUCGCUCCUAAUGCACAUGAGUCAGUGACAAGAAAGUUAUUCAUAUAGUAUAGUUUUUUUCCUAAUGGUUAUCUUAAUAAUUGGCAGACGGGCUUGAUGGAUACCUCCCUCAAGAACCCCAAAAAAAAAAAAAAACACUACGCGAUGAAAGCGGGACAAAAGUAAAGUGAGCCAGUCAUUUUUUUCUCAACUUAACAUUAUAACAUGAGCUUGUCCUAAAUUAAUCCAGAAAAAAAGGCUUUAUUUUACAAUAAUCACCAGAAAUUUCCUCAGCUUUUCUUCAGAUGACAAUGGACAAAGCAUUGGAAAUUUGUCCGAGUCGGCUGAUGCUCAUUGACAGAAUGAAUCCAAGAAAGAAUAGUGGAUAAAAGAGACGAACAUUGAAAUUUUCUGAUGCAACUUGGGCAUAUAAAGACAUUGCUUCAUUUCAACUGCCCUUUUAUCCUGGUAUACCAGGCAUUUAUUAAUAACCUAUUCAAUGAUUUCUCUGUUAUAGUGUAGGUCUUUUUCUAUCUUCUUGGCCUUUUAUUUCACUAUUGCCAUCAUUGACUUCUUGACACGUGUACCAUACACACUAUUAUACAAUCCACUAGAUCCUUGGACGCACAAAUUUAGGAUUUUUUAAGGUUUGUGCCCAAUCCACUAGAUCCUUUGACACGGGCUUGAUGGAUACCUCCCUCAAGAACCCCCAAAAAAAAAAACACUCCGCGAUGAAAGCGGGACAAAAGUAAAGUGAGCCAGUCAUUUUUUUCUCAACUUAACAUUAUAACAUGAGCUUGUCCUAAAUUAAUCCAGAAAAAAAAGGCUUUAUUUUACAAUAAUCACCAGAAAUUUCCUCAGCUUUUCUUCAGAUGACAAUGGACAAGCAUUGGAAAUUUGUCCGAGUCGGCUGAUGCUCAUUGACAGAUUGAUCCAGAAAGAAUAGUGGAUAAAGAGACGACAUUGAAAUUUUCUGAUGCAACUUGGGCAUAUAAGACAUUGCUUCAUUUCAACUGCCCUUUUNNNNNNNNNNNNNNNNNNNNNNNNNNNNNNNNNNNNNNNNNNNNNNNNNNNNNNNNNNNNNNNNNNNNNNNNNNNNNNNNNNNNNNNNNNNNNNNNNNNNNNNNNNNNNNNNNNNNNNNNNNNNNNNNNNNNNNNNNNNNNNNNNNNNNNNNNNNNNNNNNNNNNNNNNNNNNNNNNNNNNNNNNNNNNNNNNNNNNNNNNNNNNNNNNNNNNNNNNNNNNNNNNNNNNNNNNNNNNNNNNNNNNNNNNNNNNNNNNNNNNNNNNNNNNNNNNNNNNNNNNNNNNNNNNNNNNNNNNNNNNNNNNNNNNNNNNNNNNNNNNNNNNNNNNNNNNNNNNNNNNNNNNNNNNNNNNNNNNNNNNNNNNNNNNNNNNNNNNNNNNNNNNNNNNNAGAUGAAAAACUCCAUCGGCAAUCGAUUUUUUACGUGCCAGCACAAGGAAUAUAGGAUCAGACCAAAUAUGGCAGAUUAGUCAUAUGAUCGGAUUUUCCAUGAAUCAAUGAUAAAAGGUACAGAUCCCCCCCCCCCCCCCCCCCCCCCCACAAAAAAAACUAUCGAAGUGAAUCAUAUUAUUUGUGCAUAAAUAUCUUUAAACAGCACGAUGGUUUGCACAACGAAUCACUUUUUGCAUACAUUAUAACCUUGACCUCUCCUAUUAAAAAAGGGAGAUAUGCUCAUUCAAGUCAAGCUGCUUGAGAUUGAGUAGCAUAUUAAUAAUUAAUCGAAAUUGUAUAAACUCCUUGCUUGCUGAAUUUGAGGAGAAUCUAUGCCCCUCUCAAGUCUAUGUUUGAUUCAACCAAAAAACAAAGGUCUAUGUUCAAUCUUUGGCUUUUUCUUUAUCUACUAUUCACGCCCUUUUCAAAUCCAUGCAAUUUCUACCUAGAAGGUUUGAAAUGUCUACACUUUCUACAAUGGUAGAAGGAGAUGUUGAAACUCCAAGGUGUGGACUAGUCUUUAUGAAAUUUUAGGGUGAAAAAUGUUGAAUCUCGAAACCACAGGCGUAAAGAGUUGAUUUUAAAAUUUGAUGUUCUAAAGUAUUAUUAUUAUUAUUAUUAUUAUAGAGGACAGGGGUCAUCUCAAAUAUCAAACUAUCACUAGAAUGUGAUCUCAUGAAUACCUGACAUAACAAUUGCUCUCAUAUUCCAUAUGAGGAAAGCUCAAGACAAUUCACAUAUUGGCUUGCAUCUAAAAAUGUCUAAAGCUUCUGGAGCUCCUAGUCUCCAAGCCCUCCGGGCUCAAUUAGUUUGUCGCAGUCUCGUGCGACAAUUGAGUAGCAUCAUGAAAUCUAUAUACUUUAUAGGUAUCUCAAUCCUUUGAGCCCUGAGAUGUCAGAAGGUUCCCAACAAGCUGUCACUAUCAAGUUCCUUAAAUCUUCAAAUUUCCAAGCAUCUAGGAACUCUAACAACUUGCAUCCUUGAAUACACAAACUUUUGCAGGAUGAGAAUACCUCUAGGCUUUCAAUAUCAUCUUGCUCUUCACAGUGGUUGAUGUUCAGUAUUAUCAGGGUUUUCAAGCAUGAUAGAUCCAAUAAUCUUCCAAGGUAAGUGCAACCACAAAUAUCUAAUAUUACCAAAAAAAAUACAGUCCGUCAACGCCACAUUUCAACCAGACUCUUACAGUUUGCAACAUGAAAUCUCCCAAAUUCUUCAAACUAGAAGGUUAUCUUUCAAUGGACGUGCAAUUAGAGAUAUCCAAUCUUACAAAUAAUCGACCUCUCAAGGCCAUGAAUUUCAACUAGAUUCCCGCAAUCUGCAGCAUAGAAUGCUUUAGACAUUUUGAACUUGAAAGGUCUAUUUAUCUUUCAAUGGAUUGAAAUGUCUGGUCAUCUUUUAAUUGGACAUGCAUUUAAAGACAUAAAACCUUCUCAAAGAUUCUAAUUAAUCAAUCAAGGCCUCAAACUUCAGCUAGAUUCUUGCAGUUUGCAGCGUGCAAUUUGAAGUCUUUAAACUGGAGAAGUCUAGAAAUCUUUUAAAGAAGUGCACCCAGAGAGAUUCGAUCUUGCCAAUAAAUACCAUGAAUUUCAACUAGAUUUCAGCAAUUUGCAGCAUGGAAUAUUUCAAUGGACGUGCAUCCAGAGAGAGAUAGAAUGUUUCCAGAUAUUCUAAAUGGGUCAAAGCCUCAAACUUCGACUAAAUUCACGCAAUUGGCAGCAUAUGAUUCUCUUCGAUUCUUUUUAAACUUGAAAGGACAAUUGAUUGAAUGGACAUGGAACCAGAGAUAUUCAAAUUUACAAGACUCUUGCCAUUGGCAACACAUGAUAGCCCCAGAUGUUUCGAACUCGAAAGGUCCUGCAAAUCUCAACUAGAUUCUCGCGACUCACAGCAAUUUGUUUCCCGUGGAAUCUUCAAAGUUGAAGGAUCCACUGACCCUUUGCCUCUGGAGAACCUGGGAACGCCUAAUCAACGUUUUCUCUUAACUAAUGCCAAAACUUCGUGGGUCUGGUAGCUGCCAGCCCCAACCACUGGGACCACUCCAUCUCCACCACCACCUGGAAGUGACGCUUCAUAUCUUUGUGUAACACUGCUAAUCCUGUUCAUGACUUCAUUACACAUGAAAUCAUUAUUUCUACUAGAUAUAGGUGGACUAUUGAUAGAUCGUGACAUGUUGCUACCCGUCAUAAAGUGAAUAAACUUGUGAAAAUGCUCCUUCUCAUAAUUCCAGCAUGAUUCAUAUAGAUAACAUUGCUCAAACUUGUAAUAGAUCAUAAGUUUCUUUGGAAUAAACAGAUGGUUCGGCUCUAUUUACUGUUCUGGUAUCAUGAAAACCAAGAUUAUUAGAAAAAUUAGAACGUGGCAGAAGACAAAAACUUGCAUGCUGGAAAGUCGAAAUAGAGUAUCAGUAGAACAAAUCCUCAUUGGCAUAGCUAAAAAGUCCCACCAUUGGAAUGACAGAGCAGAAGUGCAAAUUACAUAGUGACAGGAAGAAUGGUGCGAAUCUUGUUAGGAUCAAACUCAACACAAGCAGUCAAUCAAGAACUUGAAAUGACUAUGAAACUAUGAACGCACUCAUGCAGCCCUGCAGCAUAUCAAAUUCACACCUGAUGAUUAGCCUGAAAGAACCUGACGAAUUUGGGGGAUCCAGAGCGCCACGAGUCCUGAAUGACCGCUUUCCUUUGCCUAUGUGUUUUUGUACUUCACCUCCAGAAGCUUCCUUAAUAAUUGUCAAUUAUUAAAUUACUUCGAUCAAUCAUAUGAGAAGAGACAAAAGAUAAAAUUACAGUUGCUAUAUCCCAGAACAAUAAAAAUCCCAAUCCAAUAAAUCAGGAAAAGUAAACAAAUUCAGCUUGUUCAAGUAUAGGUUUCCGCCAUCAUUUUCGUCAAAACCUCCGCACGACCACUGUAAACCACCACCUCCAUUAGUCAAUACUACCAAUACACUCCGGCUUCGACCACCAACAGUCUGCCAUCACAUGCACACGGCACUGCACAUAGGCUUACGCCACCAGGCGGACCAUGCCUCCAAAGGCAAGUUUAUCAUAACAUAGAAGCUCCCUCGGAGAAGAAUCCCCAACCACGAGCCAGAGAACGAAACUGGAACGGCACAGCCACCGAACUAAUUUUAAAAAUCACCACGCCAAACACGACCCAGCGCAAGACAAAACCCGCCUCCCGCCGCCGCUCGAGAGCCGUCUCUUUACAUCUAAAUCCUUCCACUAGACGGACGACGACGACAACUACUACCCCAACAACACGCGAGGGCGUACACAAGAGAGAAAGCAAAUAACGAACCGAAACACUCAAUCAAGAAGAGACUAAAGCUAAGUGGGAGCGGCCUACCUUCAGCUAGAGUUUUUACAAGCUCAGAGAGAGAGAGAGAGAGAGGGGGUCUCCUUCUUCGCUUGAUUUUGCAAUGGUCGGGUUCGUUGCCUCAUCAAAGAGAGGGUCUCCUUCUUCGCUUGAUUUUGCAAUGGUCGGGUUCGGUCGCCGAAAUUUAUACGGCCAAGAGAGAGAGAGAGAGAGAGGGUCUCCUUCUUCGCUUGAUGUUGCGACUGCUGGAGUGAUUGCGCUCGUUGCCUCAUCAAAGAGAGGGUCUCCUUCUUCGCUUAAUAUUGCGACUGAUGGAGUGCCUGAGCUCGUUGUAAGGGGCCACUCAUCAAGCCGCCAUUUGGUGCCUUUUCUUACCCUGAUGGCGGGAUAGUCGCGAUCGCGAAUCAACAGGGGUCUCUCCAGAGCUGUUAAGCUAAAGAACGGUUCCGGUACUUCUUGAAGGUUUUGGCAAUUCCGAACGUUCAGAAGCCGGAGAGAAGAGAGCUUCGAAAUACCUUCUGCUGGCAAGCUCCGAAUGCCCGACCAUUCUAAAUAAAGCUCAUUUAGUGAAACCAGCUCGCCUAUGCUACUAGGCAGUCCUUCCAGAUGUCCGCAAUAUGAUGCAUUCAACCGGUAGAGUUUCGCCAGCUUUCCAAUGGCACUAGGCAAUUCUGUCAUAGGAGUUGCUUCAAUGUUUAAUUCCCUCAAAUUUUGCAAAUUCCCAAUACUUUCUGGUAAUUUUGUAAUCCCUGUCACUGAUAAAUCUAGCUCAACCAACGAUUGCAACUUUCCAAUUGAGUCGGGGAUCUCUCUCAACGAAGAGUUAAUUAUAUAAAGUACAGAUAGAGAUGCUAGAUUGCCUAUGGAGUUAGGUAUGUGAUCUAAUGAUUCACAGCAAACGAUAUCAAGAGUCUCUAGUGCCUCCAUAAAACCAAUGAAUUCGGGUAAUUCUUUAAUAGAUGUUCCAGAUAAGUAUAGCUCAGUUAAUGACUCAAAGGAACCAAUGGAUUCAGGAAGCUGAGCAGGUUUAUCGUAACAUAGAAGCUCCCUCGAUUCUUCCAUUCUCCCUACUCUUGCCGGUAGCUUCUUUAGUUCAAAACAUCGACAAACGUUCAAAUGGACAAGGGUCUUGAUAUAGCAUAUAGAAGGAUGAAUUUCUUUUAGAUCGUAACAACUUUCAAGAUUCAAAAUCUCCAAGCUUUUGAAAGCAGACAAGUCGGGAGUUCUUCUCAAAUUGGCACAAUACGAGAGGUCGAGAACUUUCAACUUGGUUGCCAUCUGAAAUAAAUAAAGGAAACUUCAGUGAAAGUGGACAAUAGCAAUGUGUGAUUUUCCACUAUUCUUUUUUUUUUUAAAUCUUUAAAAUUCCUAAAAAAAUACCCAUACUCCACUACUCUUUCAUAGUUGUCUUAUUUAAUUUUAAAUGUUUUUUUUUCAACGGUGCCGGGGUACACAAUCAUAUUGAUUUUUUUUAAGCAUAUCCAUCGCAAAAAGAAUGUUUGGGAUGCACAAGUGCCAACCAUGUUUAUUUUCAAAUAAAAUUUCAAAAAGAAAAUAUAUUCAGUUUUUAAGAGCUGUGGUGAUGCCGUUGAUUAGACGUGCGCAAAAUUUAUUAUCAAAGAGACACUCCAAUAGUAAGAAAUGUAUAGUUUAAUUAUGAAAAGCAAUUUCUUGAAGUGACUUCAAAUUUUUUUUUUUUAAGGAUGUUGUAUUCCAAAAAAAUUUAAUGCCAUCAGAAGGAUGUUUUAUUCCUAUCAUAACAUUAUAAUUUAUAUUUGCAUCAUAUAGUGACUUCCAUAAUCAACAAUUAUAAUGAAUAAAUAAUUCAUGCAACAAGUCAGAGCAAAUAGAUUAUAUCCAUUACUCUGAGAUUAAAAUGAAUUUAGAGUUUUAGUAUUUAUGUACAACACAAGUCACUAUGUGGGAGUGUUUUUUUUUCCCUCCAUCGCUCAAAAGACAACAUGGGGAGAAAUUAGCUUGAAGCCAUAAACCGGCUAGAUUAACGAAAAUCAAAAUAGGCAAAAAUAUGUAAUUAUAUUUUAAAUCAAUUUUAAUUAAUAUAAUUAAUUUUUUUGGUAUUUUCUAUAGUUACACAUGACGGGUUGUUGAGUUUUAUCAAUUAAAGAUAUUAAGGGGCGGAGGCUUCGAAAUACUUAGGAGCCUAUAAACUCCUCUUAUAUUUAGACGAAAAUCCUAAAUCCGAGGAAUGAUAUCAAACCUUUCUAGGAGAAGCUGGUGCGAUUGGACCUCUAUUGUUAAAAAAUGUUAUUAUUCACAAGAGAUAUAUCUUAUCAAUGUUUUACCUUGAGUGGACCCCAUCCUCCCCAAUCCUCUGAAAUGUUACUCGAUGAUAGGUCAAGCACGGCUAAUUUCUUCGGAUGAAAGUUGACUACUUCAAAAUCCAAGGUACAACCCCUCCAUUGAAGCCAUCUUAAUUGAGCAAGUGAGUUUUGGAAAUCUCCAGUGAAUUUUAUAUCCUUCACUAGAAGGAACCUCAAGUUGGUGAGUUUGUCAAAUUGUUCACCUCGAUAGCUUUUAUGGUUACAGCUUCUCCAGCCAUAAUCGCCUUCAUGCCUACUCCAGUCAAAGCUUAGCGGGCUAUAAUGGCCAAGAAGAAGGGCCUCAAUCUCACAAGUGCCCUACAAUUACAAAACAUUAUGGACCAUAAGUUUUAAUUGAUGAAAUGAUCUAUGUAUAAAAACAGAUGGACUAACUUCAAUUUGAUAUCAUAUUGUUAUGGUGUUGACUUCUUAUUUUCAACUUGGUGAAAUAACAAGUUGUCACUACAUAUGAUUUAUCUAAUUCAUGUAAAAAUGGGAAGCUCAAGAAGGUGCUUUGGAACUUUUCCUCUCCCAGUUAUGCUUUUCGCAAAUUUACACCUUUUGAAUUACCAAAAAUUGCAUCCUUUCAAAAUUAUAAUAAAAGGCAUCUAUUUAUUUACAAACUACUUCAAAUAUAUCUGUCAAAAUUCAUGCCCCUUAUAUGUGAAACACACAACCCUAACUUGUAUCAUUCAUAUGCAAAACACAUGACCCUUACAGUCCAAGUACAUCUAUCAAACUUGUCAUCAAAACAUGUAUCAAAAUUAGAUAUUCUAAAUUGUAGAAUCCCCCUAUUAUUCUGGUGUGCCUUGUUUACAAUUCUCAAUAGCAAAAUAAAAAUGAGAAUGUCACCUCAAAAUGUACGCAUGCGUUUUUUAUUCCUUUCUUAUCUUCUCAUGCGUUUCUUAUAAUGAGCAUUUUUAAUUAUACAUGGAAAAAAGAUCGAUUAUAUAUCAAACGUUAUGUAGAUAAUCUUUACUCCUCUUAUUAUUAGUACAUAUGUUUGAUGCAACAUUUUCAUUAUGUUGUUAAUUUUGCCACAGUGAAAUAGCAAUAACUAAUGAGAUCUUGCAUCAAGAAUGAUCGGACAUGAAGAUUGAUUAAACUGCAUACUUAGAGAACUCAAGUCUUUUACAUUUUUCUUUCAUUGUAACCAAAUAUUUAAGGAACUCCAAUUUAUUUUGUCUUAGGUGAUGAAUUGCUCAGUGAGCACAAAUCAUGAGUUGUAAGAUGGAUUUGUUUGAUGGCUUGAAUAUUUCCUUCAAACUUUUAUUCUUUUGGAUGAGAUACUCCUUAUUUAGAAAUUUCUUGUAUAUUAUCGUAUUUUCAUCAAUAACUUCACAGAUACCCCUCUUUUUUUUCCAGUUCUAAGCAAUUUCUAUUUAGUUCAUUACGUUUUCAUUUGUACGAAAAUAUCCUCGUUGAUAUACUGCAGUAGCACAGUUUUUACUAAUCUCGCUACUUAAUUAUAUUGUGCAUUCUCAAUGUUCAUAUUCAGUGUUUUUCAAUCAAAGAUUUGCACAUGCUCGUUUGAUGUUUGCACAAAUCAUCCAUAUGUUGUAAUUGCUUUUAGUUGCAUACCUUAUUAACUUUCAUCUUAAUAAUGAAAUUAAUCACGACACAAAAUUUAAAACCAUAAUUAUUUUUGGGAUAAGUGCAUUUAAAGUUCUAAAACUGUUCAUAAAAGUGUGAUUUAGUCCAAUUAAGUCCUAAAACUUGUCAAAUUGGUUUAAUCAAGUCCUUUCUUUAAAUGCAUUUUUUCAAAAUUUUAAGACUCGAUUACACUUUGUGACAAGUUUCAGGACUUGAUUACUCUUUCCAAAUAAAUUUUAGGACUUGAUUACACUUUUUGAAAGUUUAAAGUUUUAGGAUUCGAAUCCAUUUUUAUGAUAAGUUUUAGGAUUUAGUUGCAUUUUUUUAAAAUUUCAGGUCUCAAUUGCACUUUCAUGACAGUUUUUAGGACUUUCAUUGUACUUAUCUCAUUAUAUAUAUCACAACUAUUGGAAUGGCCAUUGCUUUGACUUGACCCACUUUUUAUGGAUAUUAUGCAUAUUAAUCUCAAUAAUAAGAUUGGAUAUAUCACUUUUCCAAUAUUCCUCCAUGAAAUUUAUCCUACAAUAGUAACCUUCACAUUUAGAUCUAAUAAGAAAAAAAAAAUUCUGACUUCAGUUUUACUUCAAAGUAAUAAGAGCUAUCUCUAAUUGUGCAUCUACUCAUAUUUGAAUGUAAGGAUGUUAUUAAUUUUUAUUAUGUGAAUAUAUUGUUCUAAAACUUAAGUGAUGAUAAAAAAAUUUCAAAAAUAUAGAGUCGACAUUAUUUCUUAUCCUAAUAAGAUGAUUGAAUUAAAGAAAGUACACACCCACACACACGCACACGUAUUAUGUUAACAUUACUACUCUGUAAGCAUAUGGGUGUGAAUUUUUUUUUAGUUCUGUCACUAAAUAUCAUUCAUUUAUAAAUUUCAAACAAAGUUGUAAAUGUAAGGUUAUUUUAUUGCUAAAAUGUAACCUUUAACGAUUCUCUAUAUAAAAAGUCAUAUAUAUUGUUUAAAUAUUUAAACCAAGUUUAAUCAAUAUAAUGUGAACAUUGUUUAGUUUUGAUAGUUCUUCCACAUUAGAAAGUUCAUAAUUAAGCGUUGCCCAACAACUUAUAAAUGUCAUGUUUUCUCCGAAAGUGCUCUGUCCAACACUAUGGUUUUGCAAUUUUAUUGUUGCAUUGAUGUUUUGAAAGGAGAGUGUCCUCAACAAAAUUUUAGGAGUAUAUAUAUCUUUUUUUCAUUUUGACAAAAACAAAAGAGAUGAAAAAGAAAGAAAGAUAUAUAUCCUAUAUCAACUACCAAGAAACUGCUGCUCAAUUAUGUCUUAAAAUAAGGCAAGACAAACAAUUGACCGGACAAGCUCUUCGGCUAAUGGCUGCCCCAAUUUUGGCGCAUCAAUUUUCAUCUCUAAUAAGAAAGAGAAGAUGGACUCAACAUUCACUAACUAUAAGAUAAAUAGAGGAAACUCUUACCUUGUUGCUCUCAAGCACAUCUUCAGCUUCCUCAUUAGUCCAUAUCCGACUACAUUUUCCAACCUUCUUUGGAUGUUCUAAACGAACAAUUUCCCUUCCAAGAUCUCUCAGUUGAUCAUGCAUCAUUAGCUUGCCAUUUUUGUCAAUUUUAAUUAGGGACAUAAGACUUAAUACUUCAAUCCCUUUCCCCGAGUAAAAUUUACAGGCAUCCCACAUAUAAGUCGGAUAUUGUUUAGAAAUUCCAAUGAAAAAACAUGCAAUAUCCAAAAAAAUCUGUUGCUCUUCAUAAUCUAAUGCGUCGUAACUUAUCUUCAACCUCUCUUGCACUUCCUUAGCAGGAAUUUUCUUCAAUUUCUCUGAUGUAUCUUUCCAUGUUGACUUUGUCUUUCCACAUAAGUAUGAGCCUAUAACUUCAAGUGCUAAAGGAAGGCCCCCAGUAAUAGAUACGAUAUCAUGAGAGAUAUGCUUAUAAUCACUCGGAGGAAAAUCAUUUCGAAAUGCAUGUCUACUAAACAAAAUCAAUGAUUGAUUUGGAGGCAACUGUUCAAGUUCAUAUAAGUGGCUAGCCCUAACCUUGUCAAGAAUACUCUUGUUUCUAGUUGUAAUAAUGACUAUACUUCCCACUUUAAACCAACUACCGUCUCCGACCAAAGCAUCCAAGUGAGUAUUAUCAUCCAUAUCAUCAAGAAGAGCGAGGACUUUCUUACUUUUACAUCGAGAUUUGAGUACACGGAUUCCGUCAUCAACAUUAGACACCUCCCACAAUUCUCCUAUCACAUCAGAAAUGAGCUGCUUUUGUAGGCAUUCAAUACCCUUGCGUUGAGAUGUUUCUCGAAUAUUUGCCACAAAGCUACAUUUCUCAAAAUCACUUAAUAGCUUGUUGUAUAACACCUUUGCAAGAGUUGUUUUACCGAUGCCGCCCAUUCCAUAAAUUCCAAUGAUCCGUGUACCAUUGAAAUUAGCAUCUAUCUUGCUCAUAAUCUGUUCCACAGGAUGAUAAGUUCCCACCAACUGUUCGGGAACACUUAGGUCGAAAAGUCUUUUUAACUCACCCAUAACUCUUAUGCCAACCGUUUUCACUAAUGUUGCUUCUUGCCUAUCAAAUAAUAAUACAAAAUUUCAAUAUAUGAUAGCAAUGUUUAUAUGUUUUUUUCAAGUAAGAUAUUUAUGAGAAACUUAACAAUGUUUUGGCGGACAAUAACGUACCCAUUAGCUAUUUUCUCCGAUUCCCAUCCUUUUAAUAAACUAACUUCGUUGAGCGCUUCUUCCCAUUCCUUCACAACCAUUUGACCCAAAUUGUUUUUAUGUGCAUUGAUGGCAUCUCCAAAUCUCCCCUUGAGAUGUCGGACUUGUGAGGGUUCCACUUUGUAAAAUAUGGGCAACACCACUUGCUCUCCGCUUUUCCUGCACUUCAACAUCUGAGCCAGCUCUUGAAGGCACCAUUUGCUGGAAGCGUAAUCCUCAGAUAUAAUCGGAAUCGAAAUCUUAGACUGCAUGAUAUUGUAGAGAAGCUCCGGACCAAUCUCCUUACCAACACGAAGCUCAUCGUUGUCUCUAUACACACGAAUUCCUGCAUCAACAAGGCUAGUAUAGAGAUGAUCAGUGAAGCCUUUGCGAGUGUCUUCCCCUCUAAAGCUCAAGAACACUUCGUAGUCACUUCCUUUCAGCCUUUUGGUUCCACCAUUAUCACCUACAUGUGGAGAGGUCGACGACGAAGACGCUCUGUAUGGCAGAUCUUCUGAAUGAGGAGGCUCUUUUCUGAUCAUCUCGAGAUAGAUGGAGCGGAGCCUCAAAAGAAGAGGAGUAUGGAAUCCUAGAUGUAGGAAUUGCAGAAAUGUCUCUCAGGGCUCAAUUGAGAGCUACAUUCAAACAUAAACAAAAGCUCUCAUACAAGUCAUCAAAAGAAAAUGGAAAUAAAAACAAGAAAGAGAGAAGAGGAGAAGAGCAAGGAGUCACCGAUUACCUGAGGAGUGCUUAAACAACACAAUCCACACUCUGCUGUGAUCUCCACCGAUUCUCACCUUCGACGUUGGAUUACCCACACGCAACCGUCUUUUAUAUGCGUGCUUGAAUGAUGCUGAGUUCUGGCCAUCCAACGGUCCAGGACUCUUUAUGCUAAUUGAACGGCUGCGAUGCAUGCUGCAGGGAAAGGAGAAUUAUUGCAGGCGUAAUUUCCGUAGCACCGCGCAGAAGGUGCGUGGAAUGAGGGACGCUUUUUAUUCGAAUAGGGAAAGUUUAUUAUUUUCAAUCAGCAAUCUGAUUUUCAUUAAGGAGAUUGCUCUAAAAUAGUAAAUCACUAGAUAAAUCUCUCCCAAAAACAAUUUUAUCAAAUUAAAUUUCUCCAUACCACAUCAUAUAUCUAAAAAUUAUGUAGCCAUCACUCCUCACUCACGGCACUUUUAUCCCUCUCCUUAUAUUAAUAAUUUUUUAUGCUCUAUAUCCUUUUAGAGUCACAUUUAGAAAUUCUUGGCCAAUGAAUUCUCCACAAUUGAAUAUUUAUUUAGUCAUCCAUUUUUACUUUCUUUUUUCCAUUUUUUGCUUUUUUCGAUGGUCAAGUGGAAACAGAUGCUAUUGAUUUGUUUUAGCAAUGUCUAGAGAAAGAUAUGGUGGCAAUUUUUACUAGGAAAACAUUAAUAGGAGUCUUUUACACUCUUUUUUAUCAUCUAGUCAUUUUGAAAAUGUUAAGCUGAUUUAUCUUCAUGACAAAGUUGCAUGAUAUGUGUGUGUAUAUAGAGAAAUAUAUUUAUACAUGUAUCAUAGCUUAACAAAUAUUGUACCAUUACCAUGGGAAACAUUUUCAAUGUCUUUCUUGGAGAGUUCCUACAACCCCUUUAUCAAAGUAAAUGCUAUGCCACUUUCAUAGGAAACUCCUAAUUUUUCAAUAUCUUUCUUUGAGAGUUCCUACAACCCUUUUAUCAAAGUAAAUGCUAUGCCACUUUCAUAAGAAACUCCAAAAUUUUCAAUGUCUUUUCAAUGUCUUUCCUAGAGAGUUUCUACAACUCCUUUAUCAAAGUAAAUGUUAUACCACUUUCAUAGGAAACUCCUCAGGAAACUCAUCUCUCUCUCUCUCUCUCUCUCUCUCUCUCUCUCUCUCUCUCUCUGAAAAAUUGACAAGUGCCUUUUGAGUAUGCAUUUAGAAAUAUCCAAUUACGUGAAUCUCAUAAGGUCUCCACAUUUUUUAACUAUUUGUCAGUGUAAACCGUUGGAUUGACAUUGAUAAAAUUGUUGUGUUUAAAGCCACUAGAUCAUAUUGAAGUGCGAAAGAUGAGGAAAAAUUUUAUGGUAUACCUAUUGUAAUGUUACAACAUUACGACACAUAGGGUAGUUAAGUACGAAAACAUCAUAAUAGCACAUUCUAUGACGAUCAAGUGCAAAGUGGUGUGAAACAAAAGUGUGCAACUGAAGAUUUUCUAAAGAUGAAUGGAAUCAACAAUGAUGGAAGUUUCGCAGGAAAAAGAUGAGCCGAGUAUGGCAUGGGUCCGUUGCCUUGUGACUUACUUUUUUUCACUCACCCACUUUGAUGACCAAAAAGGAGCCUGAGUCCUGCUUUGUUAUCAACAGGAGAAGAGAAACAAAAAAGUGAGAGCAUUUACACUUCUUGUGGACCUCCAGAUGAUUGUGUUACUCGGUCAGUUGGAAAUUGGAAUCUAAAAGAAAAAUCAAAUAUAUUUGUACAUCUCUCUAAUAUAAAAAAUUUAUUCUUUUUGACCCAAAUGAUCAAAUAAUAAUUGAGAGAUAUAUGAUUUGUCAAAUAAUACAAAUGGUGAUACGAAAGUUAAAUGUAUUUUAGGUCUCAUACUAAUUACGUUCACAAAAAUUGUAGAUUCAUUUUAGAAAUUAUAUUCAUAUGUUUAAAUAUCAUGAAAACAAGUUUGAGUUGGAGCCAUUUGCACACAUUCCAAAAGCCUAAACUUAAUCAAUUUAUUAAAUUUGCAGCGUAUUUGAUGUGCUUUCAAGUGGCGAUCCUCUAUGAUGAUGCAUAUGAGUUUCAAAAAGUUAUCAUAUGUUCACUCUCGUUGCAAUUGCACCCACUGAAACUAAAAUUGAUUUGAGAAAAUUCUUCGAAUUUUAUCCUCACUAUCAUUUGAAUGAUUUAGAGAAUUUUCAAAUGAGAAUACAGAAAAUCAUUUUCACUGUUUGGCUUCAAGAAUAAAAUACAUGUUUUCUCUUUUCACCAUUCUCGUUCUCGUCUAAAAAAGCGGCUCCCCACAGGAUGCUUUUCUUUAACUCCCUUCUUUUCAUAUUCAUUCACUUUGGACACAAAUUUAUCAUUUAUUGGAGCAUUUCCAUGACUUUUUUUAAAGUUAAAGCUUUUUCCAAUGCUAAAGGGAUUAUUCUUUUCAAUCUAUUGCUCCAGGAAGUUUCAAAGAAAUUUCCUGUUGAAGAUUUUCUUCUCAUUGUUCUUUAUUCUUUUCAAUUCAUAGCUCCAAGAAGCUUCAAAGAAAUUUUCUAUUCAAGAUUUUCUUUUCAUUGUUUUUUUUCCUUUCAAUCCAUAGCUCUAGGAAGCUUCAAAGAAAUUUCCUGCUCAAAAUUUUCUUUUCUUAUUCUUUUCAAUCCAUAGCUCUAGCAAGCUUCAGAGAAAUUUCCUAUGCAAGUUUUUCUUUUCAUUGUCCUUUAUAAUGUAAGACAAUUUAGUUAAGAAAUUCUAAUGCUAUUAAAUAAUAAUGAUGGGUAUAUUAAUUCCCUUUAAUUUUCCAAGAAGACAAACAAUUGGUUAUGUGACUUCAGUAAUUUCCCACUUGCUAACAUGAUCAUCCAAAAAGGAUUGGUUAAAAGAUUCUUUUUGAUUAGUGAGAUAAUUUUUUUUUCAUUGCUCUUAUUAAUAGACACAAAUAGUAUAUGAAGAGACUAAAGUCUCACAAUAUAGAAAUAUGAUAUACUGGGAACAGGAUAUAUUAUUGAAAAUAAAACCAAACUUGUAUUGUUUAGUUCCAAUUUCUAUAGAAAAGUUUCCUACCAAUCAUGUUUUCGCAAAAAAGAUUCCAAUGAACUACUAACAGUUUUUUUUUUAAAAACAAAAUGGGCCAUAAGUGAACUUGAUUUUCUAGUUACUUCUAAUGAAAAUGUUAUCAAUUAAAAAUACUAUUCAUGAAAAUUACUUUCAAAAAUAAUUAUUUGUAAAAUCAUACUUAUUAUCUAGGGUCAUGCAAGGGCUAGAACCUUUAUGGUCAUGGUGGCGGGGCUCACCUCCAUCGCGAGUACUGACUUUCAUAAAAAGAGACGCAACCAUAGAGUUCAUGACCUCCGUUGAUUCGCUACACAGUCAUCUAUAGUCACAGGAAGCCACGACCUUCAUGGCCGGACGUCUCUCCCUUAAUGAAAAUCAAUACACUUGAUGGAGAUGAGCCUCGUUAUCAAAAUCAUGGAGGUCGUUGCCCUCAGUGCGAUCAUAGGAAAAAAGGUGUGAUUUUAUAAAUUAUGAUUGAUAAGAUAUCCUUGUGCUCAAAAGCCCUUUUCGCUUUUUGCCACUAAAUGGUUUCUGAAUCAACAAUCUUUUUAAAAGUCCAUUUUCUCGUCUCAGCAAUUUGUCCUUUUCUUCUUUAAGUACUAAGAAAAAGGAACGUCAUUGUGGUGGGCAAAGUUCAGUCAAUGGAAUCUACACUGUUCAAUCGGUGCUAUCAAAUUUGUGUCACAACUCACCAGCGAUAGCGACGACCUAAGAAAUCCUUUAUCUUUGUGUCUAAGGAAUCAACAUGAAGUGAUUAAAUUUUUAAACACAAUUCAUUGUACUUACGUGAUAAAACUUACGAAUUUAAAAUCGUGCAAAUUCAAAUGUUGCUUAGAAUAUUGUCAAUCAUAUUUGUUUGAGCAAAUGACAUUAUAAGGAGUAUCUAGUUCGGUAUGUUUAUGAUGAAAAGGCCCAUUUGUUAUUGAUAAGCCCACCUAAGAUGCCAGACGUGGCAUAAUUAGGUGAACCCAAUACAUGUUGUAGGGAUUAAAACAAGAGAUGGCAUUUUCGGACUAAGGCGUAUCAAUAAUAUUGCCUUAAAGAUAGUGAUUUAUUCAAUAGGAUUCAUGAUCCUAUUCAUUCGAAUCCAAUGGAAAUCUUAACCCUAGACACGAUGCCUAGACUCUAAUUUUGCUCACUUAGUCCAUGUGGGAAGCAAAGGAUGAAUACGAUUCAAGCCUUGAAGAGACCGUCAAUAUAGAGAAAGCAUGAGAGAGACGAGGAGGAGAAGAAGGAACAUAGGAUAGAGAGAAAUGUUGAUGAUCUCUUUGUUCCCAUCUUUUCUAGAAGACGCUCCGGGAUAACUAGGCAAAGGAAACGACACAUGUAAUAUUGGACGCAUAUAUUCAUUGAUGAUAUUUGAAAUCUAAGUUAGAUGAAUGUUAAGUUUUAAAUAGUAAUAAUCUAACUAAUGGAUAAGAAUUAAAAGACAAGAUAACUAGUGAGCAAUUUUGGCCUUGAAGUUUUAAUUUAUUCAAUGUGGUCCUUGAACUUUUAAUUUGUUCAAUGUAGUUUCUGAACUUUUAAUACAUAUUUAAUACAUACCUUGAAUUGUAUGAAAAUGUUCAAUAUAGUCAUUCCAUUAAUUUAAGAUCAGAGGCUACAUUGAAUAUUACCAUAUAAUUUAUGAACUAUAUUGAAUAUGUACCAAAAGUUCAUGGACCAUAUUGCACAUUGGGCUAAAGUUCAUGGGCUCUAUUGAACAUAUUAAAAGUUCAUGAACCAAAUUGUAUAUUGGGCUAAAGUUUAUGGAUUGUUUAUCAUUUUCCCUAAAAGAAACCCAAAACAAUCUCUCACUAUUUUCUAAGGAGGAAUUAUUACAAGGCAAACAUUGACUUCCAAUACAAUGUAUGAACCAUAUGGAUAUGUGGCAAAGCAAAAUGUAGUAGUUGAUUGGAGAAACCUUGAUCUUAGAAUUACUAAUUUCGGCUUCAUUUGUUUCAUGAAAAAUAAAUAAUUUGGAGAAUAUUUUUUCUUAAACUAGUUACUUAUAUCAUUUUACAGAAAUGAAUGAACGAAUUUGCCUUUAUUGUCAAUGAAAUUGUUUAGACAUAAGUUGUUGUCGAUAAUGAAAAUAUAUUUCAGUAACUAAUUGUUUCAAGAAAUACAAGCAAUCAUUUUUAAGAAAAUGUUGUCCAAAAAUCAUUCAUUUUUUGGGCAAUGUGUUAUAAAUCAUGCACUUACCCCAACUUAGUGAGAGCUUUAGAGCAUAACCAUAGCUCAUAAGAAGUAGCCCCGACUUCCACAUUAGCAAAGGUAAAUCCCAUCAAGAGCAUUCGUAACCACCAUUUUCGAUCCACCGUUUGUUAAGAUUAGUUUGAUCCUACUUUAUGGCAAAAAAAAACAAUGCACAUUUUGAGAUGGAAUUUUUCCUAUUAAAAAUUGUGGCCCUACUAGUUGCAAAGUAACGUGCACUGAAAAUAUAACCUCAAUGCUAACAUUUCGAUACAUCACAAUUGACUAAAAAAAUUUCAAACUCGUAUGUAAUACAAAUGUAGAGUAGGCUACAUCCAGUGGAUCCUUAAAUAUUGGUACUAAUCACAUCUCCUUCAAAGCUCUUGAUUACUCUACACGAGUUGAUCUCUUAGUAAGAGGAUUGCCAGAAAAAUUGUCCAAAAAGUCUUAAACUUAUUAUAUGACAGCCAUUUCAACCUUAGACUUACAAAUAUGUAUAUACCAUACGGUUUUAACUUUGUCGUUAACACUGAUUUAGAACCUAUAAUUAUAGUGUUAGGAGAAAGAUUAGCUAAUGACCAUGUACUAUCUUGCUUAAUAAAUUUUAUAUCAAUUAGGGGUGAGUGGUUCCAUGAUUAUUUCAUCUUUUACUUGGAACCUCCAACCUGUUGGAACUAAUUCCUCAAUUUUUUUAACCUAGAACCUACCUUACAUACCUUGGAGCCUUAAACCUGUCCUCUCACAAGUUUUAGGAUAAAUUUCACGAUCUAUCUAGGUUCUACCUUUAUUCUUACUUAAAUGACUUUAGCCAAUUGUCAUGUCUAAUGACCGCUAUUUACUAUUACAAUAUACAAAUCACAACUCAUAUCUAGAUACACGAAGAAUAUGAAAUAUUAACUAUGCAAAAGUCUCACUCAUAGAUAUCAUUGGAAAUGGAAGCUUAUACUAGUUAUUUUAGAUCACACAAUUAUCAUCGGACACAAUGGAAUACUGUAUGAUUUUGCAAAGAACAAGAAAAACAAAAAGACUUGUUCACAUGUAGGUUCAGUAAUGAAGCGAUGGCUAAAGUCAUACUUAACAACUAAUGAAUAAUGUCUAUUGUGUAAAGCACGCCCCAUAUGCUUUCAAAACAAUUUAAGAUUAGAUAUGAAUCUACACAAUUUGAUUCAAACAUUUUUACCAAAUAAGAUUGAAAAAAAGAUUUUAGGCAUUUCAAACUCAAAUUCCGGCCUAGGUUUAGUCUAAACUAACAUCAGAUGUUCGAAAUCAGGAAAGCAAACUCAAAUAGAUCAUGUUCUAUCUCCACAAAGGAUUCAAAGUCUUAGUCACUCCUAACUAGAAACAGAACCUUUCGGAACAGAAGCAUCAUUUGAUUAGCAAGGCCAAAUGAAACCGUGGCUGGGCGAUUAACUUCAGGAUGUAGCUUCAAAGAUUGCUAGUGAUUGAAACUAGUGCCGAUGAAGAGUUUUGAGCGAGAUCCAAACAACUCGAGACUUGUAGCCCAAAAAAAAAAAAGACGACGACGAAGACAACAAGACGGAGGAAAAUAGGGUAACAUUCUAUGCUCUUGUGAAUCGGAGAUGAACAAUAACUGAUGGCAAGCGGCAUCCGACAACAAUGAAGAGACUCUCAAAGAAGUUUUUCAAACUCUCCUAUCAUAGGAACUCUCUCUCUCUCUCUCUCUCUCUCUCUCUCUCAUGCAUGCGUGCGUAAACCGCCUUUUAUAACAUUAUCACAAAAUCGUUCACUGAGAAAAAGCCAAGGAGAAGGAGUCACCCUCAGAGAAGAGGGUUUCUUUUCAUUCGCUACAUCCAAGCCUCACCAUGUUUGGAUAUGCCAAUUCCUGGGUUUAGUAGGUUCUUGAUCCAAUUCUUUGAUUCUUAAUUCCCGGUCCAGUUUGACUUGAUUCGAUUCCUAUCCAGGAAUCAAACCACAUAAUGCAAGUUCAAAAUAAUAUGGAACUAGGAAUCAGACGAAGUCUCCCUAGAACCUAGAAUUAGAACGGUUCCCUCCGGUUCUCCAAUUCCUUAUUCUACUCUAAAAUCAUGCUCAUCCAUAAUCUCAACAUCCAUUCCCAUUGUCCAAAUGUGAGCAUCUGGUCUAGACUUAGCAUCAUUAUAAUUAUUUGGAUCAUCUACCAAAUCAAUCCCAUAAAUGGUCCAAAGACUUUUCUUAUUCUUUUCAUUAUCAAAUGCUAAACAUAUUUCGCCAACUAAAUUUGCUUAAUAAAUUGAUGUUGCAAAUUCCUCCUAAGUGAUUUGAUGCUUAGAGAACUUGAAUUCUAACAUUAGAAAACUGUCAAGUUUUAAAUAACAAUAAAGUCAUAGAUAAGAGCUAAAAGACAGAUAAUUACUCAAUAAUCCAAAACUCUCAGUCACACCAAUAUUUUUUAAAAGAAUUUGAAAUAUUGACAUUUGAUCUUAAUUGCCAAAUACUGAGGAGAUUACCCAAAAAAAUCCCAUACCUACCGUAUGGUGGUUAGUUUAGUAGUAAACUUUUCAAUUACAUCAAUAUUGUCCUAAAUCUUUUGAUGAUUUUACAUUGUAGUCAUUUCAACCAAUUUUAAAAAGGCAUUGCUGAUGUGAUGAGUCAAUGUUUGUUAUCCUAUAUGGUGUGACUGAUACUGACAUGAACAAUUUUAAAAAAUAUAUUUUUUUUUUCCUUUUUUUCUUUUUUCUUUUUUUCUUUUUGCUAGUGACUAGUAUUGGGCAAUGGCCAACAAGGGCUAGAACAAGGGCCACGGCCCUCAUUAGAUGUCAACGAUGGCUUGCAAGCCCUCACUUAUUGGCCAAUGAGAAUUAUUAGGUCCUUGCUGGCCACAACCCCCAAAAAAAAAGUAAAGAGAAAAAAUAAAUCAAAACAAAAAAAAAUAUAAAUUAUAAAAAUUAUCCACGUUAGCACCAGUUGUCCUAGGCCAUGCCAUAUAAGGCGAUCCACAACACUUCAACGAUUUUUAGUCAAAAUUAGCCAAAGUACUAUAUUGGUAAAUUGUCAAAAAGUUUAAAACUAAAUCGGCACAAUUAAAAAAUAUGAUUGAAUUCACAUCCAUAUAAUAGGUUUGGGAUUUUUUUUAGUAAUUUUCCCAAAAUACGUAAGGAUGCAUCUGUAUUGUUUGCCAUAAAUCUAAUAAAAAUUAUUUUAGUUUUGAAAUUUUUUAAGUAAUUAAUGGUAACGUUUAUAUGUUUAAGAAAAUUGAAGUGGUCAAUAUUAAGGUAAUAAAAAAGUACGUCAAAUAGAUGGGUCAAGUCGGACUAAAAAAAUGAUCCGACCCAAAUUGAUCUAUUUAAACUAUUUUUACCCAUUUCCAUCAAUAAAAAUAUAGGGAUAUAUACUCGACCCAACUCAUAUUCAAUUCAACCCAUUUUGCAGAAAUACUUAUAUAUUUAAUUUAGUCUAGAAAAACUCAUACUUAAACAAAGGUGAGAGCACGAAGUGAGCGAGCAUGAGAUUGAAUGAGAAUGCAAGAGUAAAGAGACAAUCAUAAGGUGAAUUAGGUCUAAAUAAGUAAUGCACUUAUUUAACACCCAUAUUUUUUUAGACCUUACCAUUCUAGACCGAUUUAUGACCUAUUACUAAAUAUAAGUAAUCAAUAUAACAACUCAGCAAUCAAAUAUUGGUUUUUUUUUUGGUCGAAACAAUCAAAUAUUGGUUAAAAAAUAAGUCUAUGACCUAUUUUGACAAGUCCUGUUAACAAUUUGGAUCAUGACUAUUUAAGCGCUUACCACCAUCAAAUCAAGAUGUUGAUCACUUUGGAGAUAACAAUUUCCCCCAUACCUUUCUUUAUUGGGUUCUUUCUCUCCCCCUUGGUUACAAGAAAUUUUAUCUGGCCCAACGCCAUAACUUUUAUUUCGGUCUAUAUUCACGUUGAGACUACAUUUAUCAUGGCGUAAUAACUAAGGACACAAUGAUUUAUAUUUUCUAAUCAAAUAAGUCUUCUUCUUCAUGUGUCUAAAUAAUCAACAAAAGUAAACUAGAAAUUUCACACCAUCGCAUGUGAUGUUCGCAUUGUAAUUCCUUCCAAUCACAUGGGCCCAACCAUUGGACUCGACCUCCAAGGCCAAACCCAAACGAAAAAUUGUUGGACGGACCUAGGUACCAGGACUAAGAAAAAAAAAGCAACAUGGCCCAUCACCUACGGGGCCAUGCCUGGGCAUGGGCCGAACAAAAAUAUAUAUUUGUUGGGCCUAGAUAGGCCCAUGGGCCUGACCGAGCCUAGGCACAAAGUAGGACAUGGCCCGCCAUCUAAUGGGCCAUGCCUUGGCACGUGCCCAAGCGUGCUUGGUCAGCACGGCCCACUAUUGAUCUCUAUCCACGAGAAAGGAAGUUGCACCCACAUAAAUUUAUUCAUUUAGGACAAAUUUCACUUUGCAUUUGCAUUUCAUUAACACAAUACUGAUUAGCAAAAAUGCUGGAACAUGUAACACUCUAGACAAAAAGACGAUGAUGACAUAUCAAAGCAAAUAUUCCAUAAAUUUGAUAACUCAAAAUUUGCAAUAUGUACAGUUAAUGUGGAUCGUUCCAAGGGCUGUGAUAAUCCAAAGUCAAAAAUAUCUUUAUAAAGAAGAAAACUUCAACUUCAUACUACGACUUCCCUCAACAACUUCACCGGCAGCAACUAAUCUGGAGACAUCGGCAGCCUCGCUGGGGACUCCUUGUUCGACUCCCGGUCCCGAUUGCCCUCAAAGUUGACUGCAUAGCUCUUCGGAUCAUACCCGAACUCUGACACCACAACGCAGCCCUACCUCCGACACCUCUCAAUCCGAGCGAUGAGGCUCCGGAGCUUACGCCGGAUGUCUGGCAAUGAGAGCUCCCAAGUCGUGGAGCAGAGCCACGAGUAGGGUGACCAAGCCGCUUUGUGGCCAUUGCUGCAACUGUCGCGGUCCGAGGAGGCAGCCUUAUGGUAGGCGACAACGUCUCAAAAGCAAUAGAAGAGGAGAUGCGGGGAGGACAAUUUGAGCUUGCGAUUGAACAGCAUUUGAGCGUGUGUAGAGAGAGAGAGAGGAUGAGGUGGCGGGUUUUUAUAGGGUGGACGUGGGAUAAGGAUGGGGACAAAGUUGGGGGACGCGGUGUUUUGAGUCAAUCCCUCUGUUGAAAUUUUGUCUUACUUUCCCAAACUUCAAUUUUGAGCAAUUUAGUAAUUAAGUUAAAGUGAAGAGAUCACGAAAUAAUUACAUGCGACAUUAUUUUCACCUCUUAAAUGAUUAAAUCUGACCUAUUGCCAUUGAAAAGACAAAAUCGCCUUUAUUCAUUUGAUUGCAAUUUAUAAGUGGUGGCCCCCAAAUUUUGCUUUCCUUUUAAUUGGCUUUGCUGUUUUUAUGUAGGAUUUUGUUACCAUAAUGACAAAGUUUCCAUGUAUAUGAAGGGUGUGAUUUUUUUAAUUGUUAGAUUUUAUUUCCAUAAAAAUUAGUUUUGUCGAAAAGAGAAAUACAAAAAAAAAAAAAAAAUCUAUUUCUUGGUUAAAUUUAGCAUAGUCAUUUGUUAUAAAUUUCCGCUCUUGAUGCGUAAUUUACCAUCAAAUCAUGUCUUAUCAAUUUAUAUAUAUAAAAAAAAAUCUUUGAUAAUUUUCCAAAAAUAAUAUCACAAUUACAUUCUCCAACAUGAAACUUGUCAGGCCAACAUAUAAUUCACAAAAUAAAUCAGACUAAAGAUGCGUUUGAUAACUAUUCCAUUCUCAAGAAUAAUUUCUAUUUUGAAUUUAUUUUUCAAUUGCUUGGACAAGUUUCUAACUAGAAGAACGUGUACAUUUGAUAUGACCCUAAUAAUUUCUAUUUUCAUUUUUUUAAUUUAAUUAUAAAAAUAUCAAUAGAGAGUUAAGUUAACAAUUCAUGUUUGAAUAAAAAUUUAUUGAGCCUAGGCUAGUCCAUGAGGACCCAUGGGCCUGACCCGGCCUAGGCACAAAAUGGACACGGCCAACCACCUUAAUAGGCCAUGCCGUGGCCUGGGCCCAAGCAUGCUGUACUCAGGUCAGUACGACGCACUACCAAUCUCUAUCCACAAGAAAAGAAGAUGCAUCCGUGUUAUCCGUAAAGUAAAUCCCAUUCAUCCAAAAUUAAAAUUCGCAUCCCGUUCAUCCAAAACUAAAAUUCGCUUCUUGUCAGUUCCCGUUUCAAUUUUUUUUUUUUUUUUUUGGUUGAAGGUUCGCAUUUCGAUGAGGUAACGCCAAUCAGCGAAAAAGCUCGACCGGGGAUCAACAAUCCUCACAAAAAGCGAAAGCGAAAUGGAGAUGACGACAUAUUGAAGCAGAUCUUCCACAAAUUUUAGAUCUGGAAGCUCUACAAAUAUGUACAAGCGCUACGGAUUGCUCCACGGACUGUUGAUAUAGUAGCCCAACUUGUCGAUCCAAAUCAAUAAAAAGAUGCUUUUUUCCAGAGGAAAGGACUUCAACUCCAAGCUACGAGUUCACCGGCAACAACCGAUCCAGAGACAGCGGCAGCCUCGCCGAGAAGUUCCUUGCUGGGAACUCCUCGUCCCACUCCCUGCUCCGGUCGUCCUCAAAGUUGAGCGCGUAGCUCAUCGGGUCGUACCCGAUCUCCGAGGAGGCCGCCGCAGCCGCCGCCGGGUGACCUGGCCUCCACCGGCACCUCCCGAUCCGAGCGAUGAGGCUGCGGCACCUAUACCGGAUCUCCGGCAGCGGGAGCUCCAGGGCCGCCGAGCAGACUUUGCGGGGGUGGCAGUCCAAGGAGGAGGUCUCGUGGUAGGCGGCGGCGUGGCCAUCAUGGAAGCAGCAGAAGAGGAGGCUCGGGGAGGAGGAUGAUCCGAGCUUGUGAUGGAACAACAUUUGGACGGCGAGAGCGACGGGACUCGGAAUCUUGGUCUGCUCAGGUCUGGUCCCUGGUCUGUUCAAGAGCGUGAAGAGAGUGAAGCGAGGAGAUGGGGAUGAUGAGGAAGACGAUGGAGAAGAGAAUGAGGCGAAGGGUUUAUUUAUAGGGUGGACGGAUAAGGACGGGGGCGUGUGGCGGCAGAGCAGAG
rnacentral:lncRNA from 1 species